rnacentral:lncRNA from 1 species
UUUUUUUUUGUUUUGAGAUCGUGGCUUUCCCUAAUAUAUCAACGAAGUCUUGAGUCUCCUGCCACACCCAAUGUCCCGCGCUGCCACUAUCACGCUUCGCUUGUUGCUUGUCACCACAAGUGGGCAAACCGACGUAUAAUCGUCCCGGUAUUUCCUACAGCACUAAAGAUAUCUCAAAUCCUAAUACUACCGGUACCGGAACCGGAGAUCAUGAUGGAUCAAAUUGCAUUUGACUAUUUUCAUCGUCUUGACAAAAUUGGUCCUCGUGUGUUCUCGAUAGCGGAGCUAGGGGGCCAUGUCCCCCCCUCCCUCACCACGCAACGUAAACACCCAGCAUGACCUGUAUAUUCUGGCGUUGCUAAUUAUAGAUAGUACCUCCAACACUGUUCAAAAAACUACCGAUUAUUUUAUGAAGACCACAGUUUUAAAUACUCAGCGUCCAUAUAUAUCACGUAGGAUUUGUGAGCUGUGCAAUACGUGACCAUUUCGCACGAUUCAAGGAGCACUUGAAUAAACCACCGGCAUCCCGGCUGCGUUUUAGCCCUAUCCAAUAAAAUGAGAUUCUUGCCAGAGUUUGCUGCUCAUCCUAUGAUAAGUUUUGUAAUACAUGUACGGUUGGCCUCAACUCUCGUUAGUAAUCUCAGCAAUAUCGACCGUCUUUUGCCGCCCCUCCCCUUAGCUCUGCGCCGUGUGCUUUUGGCCGAAGCCCUAGCCAUCAUACGUCAAGAGAACAAGAAAGGAAUGUGGAAGCAACACAUACUAAUCAAAGAUUCUUGUGUUUGUGAGUGAUUGGUUAAACAGGCUAUCGUGGGCGACAAAACGUCUCGUUAGUCGUUAUAACAGGCUCCGGAUUUCUGACCGAUUAAUUGGGCCCAUCCAGGUGAACCCAUUAGUUGGGCCUUUGAUUCCGAGGAAUCUUAGUUGGAGUAAAGUUGCGGCGGGUCACAGUGGGCUCAAAGGCCGCCUCCACUUUCCUCUCAGCCCAAUAGUUAAGGAACAAAGCAUUCUCCACAAGAACGUAUCAACCACAGUUAUCUACUGCCCUCUUCUCUCCAAAAAAGCAAGUCGAUAUACCGUUUGUAGUACCAAGAUGUUCAACUUUUAGACUACUCUUAGUUCCUUAUGCAGGUUUUCAGAUGUUAGAACCUUAUUCUUUUAAAAACCAAAAAAAUACAGAAAUAGAAUCAACUGGAACGGCCAAAUUCAGAAACAGGCUCCUGACCUGCUAUAUACUGCACGCAUUCUGCCACCAGUGCAUCAAAAACCAAGCUGGCUAAUUGGUCAAACGUUAAAGGUACCUGAAGUAGCAUACGCUCUCCAAAUUACGUGUACCGUACCAGAAGAAAAGCGAUGAGUGGUUGCAACGUUUUUAUCAGCAGUUUUCACAGGGAGGCGACGAACCAGAAGUUGAAGAUCGCCGAAGCGGCCGUCAGGAACCAGGACAAGAACGCCAUCAUGACGGACAACUGGUACCUCCCGCAGAACCUCGGCGAGCACUGGGACCCGUGGAACUGGAGGAGGAGGUCGAUCACCGCGGCGCUCGAGCAGGCGGCCGCGAACGAGAGUACCGACAGCACCUGCAAGAUUUCCAGCCAAGAAAUGCCUCUUCACUGUCACAGGGUGUCUUGCGAGGAGAAGGAAGUAUACGAGAUGUGCGUACGUACCCAAUCUCCCACGACAACGAUGACCAUGACGCCGGGCACGCGGAGAGGGCACCCCACGAAGACGGAGUACACGUCGAUCAUGGCCAGCGUGCAGCUCCAGGGGAUGACCAGGCCCAUGAUCGUGACCAGGAAGCUGUCAGUUGUUUCAGAGAAUUUAGCAUAAACCACGAGAACGCUGUAUCUGAAACGGAAGUAGCAGAGAAACCAAGCAGAAAGGAGGAGGGCGGCAACACGCACCAGAAGGCGGUGUAACUGAAGAACUCGACGCCGACGGACAUGAACAGGAGGGACGCCGACGAGAAGACGGCCUGCCCGACGCGGAGGCCGAGGCUUCCAGCGCUGCCGACGGCGCCCGCGCCGGCCCCAGCCCUAUCUCCGUUCUCCAUCCCCGGACGCCGCCCUCACGCCGCCGGCUCAUCCCAUACCAUACGCGCUCGCGUUGCCAUCGGUUGUUGCUCCCUUGGGGCCGCCUCGGCUGCGCGCUCUCCUCACGCGAACGGGGAAAUGGGACGGAAUCCGGGGGGCAAAAAAAGCAGGGGACACGAUGAAAAGGCCGGGGCUUUGCGAUGGAUGGAUACGGGGAGAGAUACCGCGGCACCGCACCUGCAGCGGGAGCUGAUUCCCUUCCUUCCCCGCGGCGUCCUCUUCUUUUCUUUCUCCACCCUUUUCCUGAUCGUCAUGGUUACUGCUUUGACCUCUCUCGUCCCUUGACUCAUCAGCCAUCGCUUUCUCAGCUGACAAGUUAAACUGGCGCAAGGAAAUCCCGUUGCAACACGCUGAUCGCGACGGGGUUGUGAAGACGUGGCAGGUCCAGGUAGACACGUAACGAAGAAGCAUGGCGUCAGCCGUCAGACCAUGUCCAGCGAUUGCCACGGGUGGACGCCGGAUCGUCCUACCAGGCACCGAAGCUGCUGGAGAAACCGGCGAGUUGAUGAAGUCCAUGUACAAUUGCACUUGCACGCAUCUCGCGGCUGGUGACGAAUCGAACCUUGCAUCUCGUCCUCUGUUGCAAUUGGACUGGAAAGCAAGGGGAUAGCAGCCGGGCGAGGAGGAGGAAUGUGCCGGCCACCUUGUGUGGUCCGACGGCGACCAGCCAAGGGCAGGUAAAGGUUGAAGCAACGGACGCAGGGAAGCCAGGUGUAGACGACUAGCAACGUGGAUGCCGGAACCCUAUCGGUCCAAGAAAGUUCGCAGUAUUUGUCACUUGAAGAAGUUGAAGUACCCAGCUGCUGCCAAAGGCUAACGGGCCAACUUUAUGCAAGAUCUCACAUGCAUAUGAUGUUGAGAAACAACAUAGGAUGAUAAGGUUGAGAAGCAUCCUUUCAAUACUUGUACCAGAAGCGGAUAUUCACCACAUACUAACAAUAGGCCAACAUCUCGAUUUACAUCAAGCCACAGCCCACAGCUAAUGAUUUUAUUGGCGUUUAUGUACUCCAAAGAACCAAAUGCUGACAUCAAGCUACAACAAACAAGAUAGCGAAACUGUCCACCAACAGCGCAACUCAAACAUACAUAACGUAUCCCCUUCAGAUGAUACAAGAUCACCAGAGAGGAAACAUCUGCACAAGGAAUAAGCAGGGAAUGGAAUUGCGUGGCACGGGUACAGCAACCAGCAGUAGUGCCUACAGGAAGUUCAGCACCAGCGCCCAAACAGGGUAGAUGAAGAGCAGGAGGAUGCCGAUGCUGUUCAACACGCCAUUGCCCUUCCUGAAGGCGUUCCUGAAUCCUCCUGACGCCUUGAUGUGCUCUGAAAGAAGGUAGCAUCCAAUCACGAGGCAUAUGAAGAUGCCGAUCAAGUCGUUCCUGAAGGUGUCCGCGAAGAGGUUGGGGGCGACAACUGUGAGCAGGAUGAUUGCACCGGGCAGCUCCAACCAAUCUGGUGCACAGGAUGAAACAUUGUUGUGACAUCCAUGUAAAAAUUUAAUCACCUUCACAAAAGGGACACUAAAAGAGAAGGGAAGUAUCCAGGAAUUCUGAUAGGGUGCAAUACAUCAUAAUAAGAAAAACAAUAAAUUUUUAGCAAAAUGGUACCUGGGAAGUGGCGUGGGAAAAAGAGACGCAGAAUAACCGCAAUAAUUGCAAUCCAUUUUCCGAUCUCACCUCUGAAAAUUCAAAUGUUUAAAGAUAAGUAUUCACUUUCGUACAUCCACACAUAAUAUAAUCAUAGAUUAAUGGAGAACAUUAUCUCCUGCUUAGGGCUGUCACUGUCAGCAAACUUCCAAUCAACAAAUAACCAAUAUGAAAAGGCUCUCUACAUGCAGAACUUUUCAGUUUAUAGUCAUUCAGACUGUUAUCCUAAGAAAUCUAAAACAUUACACCAUGAAAUUGGAAGUGAUUUGAUCCUAAAAGUUCCCUACAUCUCUCAAAUUACUGAAGCAGUCUCAUUGCAGAUGGCGAUAGCAUUUAGAAUCUAGAGGAUAGGCAAUGUCACAGGGUGUAUGAGCCUAUUCACCUUAUCAGAGAAAACAGCACAUGAGGCAGGGUGAAGAAAACAUAAGGAACCAAGAGUGCUGUCAUCAUGUUGGUCUUCCAGUUUGUGCGGUCCAAUAUCAAGAGGUACCUGCAGUGGAAGAGAAAUACCUUAAUUACUAUCAGUCUCAUGUGAAACUAGCAUAUAAAAUCCUCCACUCUUGGUAUUCUACAAAGCUGUUUUUUUAAAAAAAAAGAGUAAUCAGAUGGCUCAUUAAGAGCACCGGUAAUGCUGAUCAGAAGGAAUCCAAUUCUGUUUGUUUGCAUUCAGUGAUAAACCAUAGAAAAGAGUGCAGAAAAUUGCUGGCAAAGUUGUUUUUCUAUGGUUUCUCACUCUGUCAAUUAGGCUAACAAUUGCUACACGCAGUUCCAGGAUUCAGUACAGUCUACAUACAAACAGUGACAGCAGAUAGAUAAUCAGGCUUUACGUUAUAGAACCAACUUAACACCUUAUAGGAAUUUAUAGGAUCAUAACUGGGGCGUUCAAACCAGUUUGCGUGAAACUGAAAUAAUUCAUCUUGCCCUAGCCGAUUUGGGUCGUUCUGGCACAAAGCGGUUUGAACACCCCUCAUUCAUAACUUUCUGCUUACUUUCAGACUUCAGAAGGACGUUGACCAGUGAAGAGUCAUGAUACAGCUCGCGAAAUUAAGUACAGUAACACACAAUCGCCUAACAGCUUUACUUCAAAUUAAGGUAAUUCACAAGCCAGGUCCAUCUGCAUAUAUUCAGAGGGUGGGUACCUGACAGCACAGUACUGCCAUCCCCAAGUACGAUUACACAGUAUUGCCAUCCCAAGUGGCAGUGUGGCACCAAUUUGCUCUCGAUCCUCCACAAAAGGAGAAGGAGCGAUGCUUUAUGAAACGAACCAAGCUCCGACGCAAUAACCCCAUCCCCUGAUACUCGAUUCGCAAAGCAUCAGACCGUGGACCCGCAAAAGGUAGGGGAUCAGGGAUCCCCCCCUUUUCCCAUUCGCGAAAAAGGAAGGAACCCAGAGAGAAAGGGAGCGGCGGUCCGGUGCGGAGACACUCACACUGCGGCGACGAAGGCGAGCCACUUGAGGAAGGAGGUGCCGAAGCCAAGCCCGCCGCCGAGGACGAAGGCGUGGUUGGCGAGCUUCCGCGCGGCGACGCCCAGCUCCCGCAGGUCGGCGUCGAUGAGCGCCUGCACCGCCGCCGACGCGUCCCCGGCCUCCGGGCCCGUCUUCAUCGCCAGGUACGACGCGAACCCCUUCCCCAUCUCGCCGCCCUCGCCGAUCACCGCCGACUCCCUCGCCCGCUGGAUCGGUCGCUCGCUCGCUCUGCCCGCGGUCCGCGCACGCUGGGUCGGGUUGGGCUUCGGGCGUUUGAUUUGGAAGCGGGAUCGUGGUUGGUUGGUAGUGUGGAUAUGCACAGCUAGCUGGCCGGUGGUGGUCCCGCGCGACCCGGACGGUUCCAGGCCAGCUGGGCGACGUGUACGGGACACGUGGAGCGCCCGUGGCCGGCAGGCGUUGCAUUAUUUGCAUGCAUGCUUCCCGUAUUGUUACACGCAUCCGAGUUGGUUUUGACUUUGGAUGCCUAAUUUGUAGCCACGUGGUCCACGUAACUUAGAUGUAACCUCAUUUUGAACCGAGGACGAGUAUAGUAGCACCAGUAGACAGUAGUGUAGUUCUUUGUAUAACCAUCGUGGCCAACUUGUUUGGGAUAAGAUAACUCUCGAAGCCGUGGUUUACAUGGACUCGUAACGAGGCUGCUAUGCGUGACACUGACAGGGGGGCGUAAUUAGCUAGGAACGAAAUCUUGUAUCUUCUCUUUGGUUUCUGGAUUGCCAGUUAUUCCAGUGACGCGUACGUUAAUUAUUCCAGUGACGCGUACGUUCAUCCGCUUUCAAGUGAUUGUGCCGCUUGAAGUGAGAGAUGUAGCGCAGGAGAGGAUGGUGGCGUGUCGGCAGAGUUCCACGCCCGCGCGCGAGCCCAUCGCUCGCCAGUUGGCGUGGAUGGGGGCAGUUUGACAGAGCUCCGCCAGCUCCGGCUUCGACUUCUCCACUAACACACUAUUGUAGCGUCAGAAGAGUCGGAGCAGAAGGAGUUAAAAAACCUGGCUCCACCGGCUCCUCAUUGAUCUGUGAGAGGAAGAAAGAAAGAGAGAAAAAUGGCUCGCGUGAACAGUGUUGCUACAGUGCAUGACAAUCAAAUGGUAGAAGCAGCCGAAGCCAUUUAGAAGCUCUAAGAAGGGGCCAACGUAUGUAGUUGUGGUUGUGUCGGAUUUAGUAGCCCAGCAGUUCACCAGAGAUUACCUAAGUGGUUGAUUUGUAGGCAGGGAGGAUUGCGAGACCAAGAACUCGAAGGCGAUUAUGAGAACACGAGGGUUCAAACAGGUUCGGGCCUCCGGAGAGUAAUACCCUACAUCCUGUAUUUUGCUGGAUUGUAUUGCUUUACGCUGGUGCGUGAUUUAGUCUUUGAUGGGAUGCUCUCGAGAGGUGCCCUUAGCCGCCUUAUAUAGGCUGGCGACCUAGAGUCAAGUCGGUUUGAAUCUAAUCUAGUCGGUUAAGUCAAUCUGAGUCGGAUUACAACAAGUAUCCUGUAAUAUCCGAGUUGAUUUGAAGCGUCCGACCUCCUUAACUUGUGCUCCAAAUAUCUUCACGUCCUUGGACUACAUGUUCUGAUCGGACGAACCCACUUGUCAGGGCCGGCCAGUAUCCUGAUCGGUGGGGACCGACAAGGGUCGGCCAGUAUCUUGAUCGGUGGGGACCCAUGGGGUACCCAUAUCCCUCAAGCCCUGAAGCGAUGUGUUACAUAUAACUUAUUCUGAACCCAUUCAUGAUAGUUGGUUUCACGCUGAAUCUAGCAACAUCGUAUGUUCGUAAUCUUUAUAAAUUUCUUGUUAUUGAUAGUUAAAAGUUUAAAAAGUUUGACUCCCGAAAAACCUAAAAAUAAUUAUAUUUGUGGGCAUAUGGGGUAUAAGAUUCACCAACAUUAUGCAUUUUAAACAAAUAUUUUUUAAAAAAACUUUAUGCAUCCCGUGUCACUGAAAAUGUUGGACGGCAGAGCAACAUACACACUGGCAAUAUAGGAACGGGCUCAGGUAAAAACUACUCUAAACCCUCCGGUAAAAAAAAUGUCACUUCGAAAAUCUACACAAUUUAAUUAGUACUCGAGUAAAACAAAAUUAUAGUUUUAUGAAACUACGUUUGGAGUUUGGGGACAAAUAUACUCAUAUUAUUUCUAAAUAUCUAAAAAUAGUAUAAAUAAAAACAAUAUGCAAGCCAAGACUAUAACAACUGACUUAAGACGCCCCAAACCGUCACAUAUUCUAACGGGAGUGACCGGAGUGAGUGAAUGUAGCCUAAGAUAAUGCUACGAUCUCACGUAUACGGAAAAGUUAAAAAUGAUUCCUACAAAAAUACUGAAGAAGUAGAAGCCCUAGCACGCUUUGAAGGAAUCAGGCUGGCUGCACGGUGGGCGGAUGGGAAUAUGACUGCUCCAAAAAUUCCAUGCAUCCGGUAUGCAAACCAGAUCGUGUGCAUACCUGCUCCCGCAAAGCGACGCGUGGAUGUUGCGGCCAUCCGACGGAUCCUGGCGAGGCGUGUGCCCACAAGCUAAAGAUGCAGCAGCUCAGCUCCCAACGCUAUUUCGCUCGCCGCCCGCUCUCGGCAAUCGGCUCGGCUCCCGUUCAACGCGCGCCGCUGCCGCGGGAGCGUCGGGGCCGCCAGCGGCGACGGCGGCCUGGCGGGCAUCGGGGGAAGCUACCUGGGCGCGGAGGCGGUGGCACUGCUGGCGUGCGUGACGGCCACGCUCCUGCCGCCGCCGCUGCUACUGCCCCCGCUCCUGCCGCCACCGCCACUCUUCCUGCUCGUGCCCGUCGCAUCUUCGUUGUCUUGGUCCUGCUCGUGCUUGUCCCCUCAGACGCCAGGGGCGUCGCCACGCCCGACUCCUCCUAUAGCUAGCUACCUGAUUAGAUUGGGCGGGCGGCCUUGACUCGAUGUGCUCGUCUUGUAGCUGCAGCAACACUUCAGGGGAAAAAAAUCUGUGCAGAGUAGCGUGUCCAGGUUCGUUGAGAUCUUGCUGGUGUCGACUCCCGGAAAUCCUAACAACUGCAUGAUCCUGCUCGUUUCGUGGAUAGAAGCUGCGCGAGGAACAUGACGACUAUUCGCUGGUAUGAGUUUGUGACUCCCUUGGAAGUUGAAAGUUGAAAGUUGAAAUUGAACUGAAUCUGCCCCCACAUCACCCUGGCCCAUCUGGCUGCUGGCACGUGAGCUGCCACUUGAUCGUCGCUGUGCUCUGCAUCUAGUUCAAUGAUGCAGAGCUCUCGGACUCGGAGGCGGAAUCAUCAGAGAUCUCUACGAGUUCAGGAUCCAAAUCUGAAUCGAUGUCCGGGUCGGAUUCUGGAUUGCAACUUUGCAAGAAUGAAGUCAAUUCGACGGUUGUCAGUUUGCCACCGUCGUACUUGCAGAAGCAAAUGCAGAGAGGGAAGAACCAUCGAUGAAAUCGGGACUGAUCGAAUCGAGCAGAACAAAAUCCUCUCCAUGGAUUGAUCUUUGAAGAACAAGACGAGCACAUCGAGUCCGCGUUUAAUUACAUUUACAUGACGACAAGGCCGGACGCCCAAUCUAAUCAGGUAGCUAGCUAUAGGAGGAGUAGGGCGUGGCGGUGCUGGCGGCACCCCUGGCGUCGGAGGGGACGAGCAUGAGCAGGACUUGGAUGGCGAAGAUGGCGACGGGCACGAGCAGGAAGAGCGGCGGCGACGCCGGGAGUGGCGGCAGCGGCGGCGGCAGCAUCAGCAGCGUGGCCAUCACGCACGCCAGUAGAGCCGCCACCUCCGCGCCUAGGUAGCUUCCCCGAUGCCCGCCAGGCCGCCGUCGACGCUGGCGGCCCCGACGCUCCCGCGGCAGCGGCGCGCGUUGAACGGGAGCCGAGCCGACUGCCGAGAGCGGGCGGCGGGCGAAAUAGUGUUGGGAGCCGAGCUGCUGGAUCUUUGGCUUGUGGGCACACGCCUCGCCAGGAUCCGUCGGAUGGCCGCGGCGUCCACGAGUCGCUUUGCGGGAGCAGGUAUGCAUACGAUCUGGUUUGCAUACCGGAUGCAUGGAAUUUUCUUCCCACUAUAAUUGAUAAACUCAGGAAGGGAGGCAUGGACAGGUCCCAGAUGACGCCUGUCAUCAUGGAUGCUCUACAUGAAGAUCAGCAAUUGCGUAGUUUAGUUUUCAUUAAGAUAGGGAGAGAGCAGAAUAAGGUAGCUCAUGAGCUUGCUCAGCUGGCCAUCAGGUUGAAACAGUGUUGUGUUUCAUUUCUUUCAUUUCCUGAGUAUGUUCACGCACUCUUUGUAACGAUACUCCUUGGGGGUGUUUGGAUACGAGGUACUAAACUUUAGGAGCGUCACAUCGGAUGUUCGGAUGCUAAUUAGAAGGACUAAAAAUAAGCUAAUUAUAAAACUAAUUGCAGAACCCCUAUACUAAUUCGCGAGACGAAUCUAUUAAGCCUAAUUAAUCCAUUAUUAGUAAAUGGUUACUGUAGCACCACAUUGUCAAAUCAUGGACUAAUUAGGCUUAAUAGAUUCAUCUCACGAAUUAGACUCCAUCUGUGUAAUUGGUUUUGUAAUUAAACUAUAUUUAAUACUCCUAAUUAGUAUCAAACAUCCGAUGUGAUAAGUACUAAAUUUAGGAGGGUGUAGCCAUACACCCUCUUAAUCAUAAAGCUCUCUCCGUUCGAAAAAAACAGCCUGAUUUUGCAUACAGAACCUCGUAAAUUGUCAAUGGAUCAUCAGACCUUGAGCGCUAGCAAAGGGAAUGCUGAAAUGCUUCUGGUUGUCGCUGUCGUGAGUCGCAGCGACUCGCGAGUCACAAGCGAACACGUCAGAAAGCCUCAUCUCGUGUGCCGUGUGCGUGGCUCCUCGCCCAGGCCGCGGCGCGCUCCGUUCUUCCGUUGCUUCAGCGUCACGCGGCCUGGCCGGCGCGGCGGUGAAGUCCCCCGUUCCCGAGUCCCGAGUCCCGACGCCCCUGCGGGUUCCCCUUCACGGCUCCGGCCGGUGCAUCUCGAUCGCGCGGCGAUGCAUUCGAACGCUCCAUCCCGCGCCCCCCGACGACUGACCAAGCCUGACUGAUUAAUGCUCAGCAUUAAUAACUCUUGACCUACGAUCCAAUGUGCAGUGCAGCUCUCGCGACGCUGACCGUGGCCAGCGAUCACUCCAAUGCCACGCCGACGCGCGGCGCGGAUCUCCGCGGUCAAUUCCCUUUCCCCCCUAGUUUUUGAUUCGGGAUCCGAUGAUUCGUGGCUCGUGCAGUCUUCUCCGCUUCCUCGCGCGCGAUUCCAUUUGAUUUGAUCCACGCAUCCGCUCUGCAACUCUGCACAUACAGACAGUCAUACACCGGCCAACUCCCGCGCACGCGUUGCCACUUCGUGCUCCGCCGCAUGCUUAAACUACACAGUAAUAAAGGUCUCUGCAGCCCGCCACGGCACGGCGUAGCAGUAGCAUGGAGCGGAUCGGCGCCCACGGCGGCAAGCGGCGGUGGCUGCCACGCCUCCUGUUGCUCGCCGCCCUCUCGUGGCUCCUGCUGGUCUACCUCCACGUCGCCGUGUUCCGCGCCCCGCCGGUAAUAAGCGCGCCGCCGCACACGUCCCUCGUCGCCGUCGCGUCGGACCGCGAGGACGGCCGGCGUUUCCUCCUCCGGCAAGAAGAGCAGCUCAAGAAGAUCGCGUCCUCCUCCGCCAGUGACAGCGCGCUCCCGGCGUCGUCGGCAGGGGAGGAGCGGCGCGGCAACCCCGACACCUGCCGGGGGCGGUACGUGUACAUCCACGACCUGCCGCCGCGCUUCAACGCCGACAUCAUCCGCAACUGCCGCAAGACCGAGGAUCACUGGGGGGACAUGUGCCGGUUCCUGAUGAACGCCGGCCUCGGCCGCCCGCUCGCCGACCGCGUCGACGGCGUCAUCAGGAGCGAGGCCGGGUGGUACGACACGCACCAGUUCGCGCUCGACGCCAUCUUCCACAACCGGAUGAGGCAGUACGAGUGCCUGACCACCGACCCCGCCGCGGCGUCCGCCGUGUUCGUCCCGUUCUACGCCGGCUUCGACUUCGUCCGCUACCACUGGGGCUACGACAACGCCACCAGGGACGCCGCGUCGGUGGACCUGACGCAGUGGCUCAUGGCGCGGCCCGAGUGGCGGCGCAUGGGCGGCUGCGACCACUUCCUCGUCGCCGGCCGGACGGGGUGGGACUUCCGCCGGAGCAACAACGUCGACCCGGACUGGGGCAACGACCUCCUCGUCAUGCCCGCCGGCCGGAACAUGUCGGUGCUCGUUCUCGAGUCCGCGAUGCUCCACGGCAGCGACUACCCCGUGCCGUACCCGACCUACUUCCACCCCAGGUCGGACGCCGACGUGCUCCGGUGGCAGGACAGGGUGCGGAACCGGCGCCGGGAGUGGCUCAUGGCGUUCGUCGGCGCGCCGCGGCCCGACGUCCCGAUCAACAUCCGGGUCCGGGACCACGUCAUCGCGCAGUGCAAGGCGUCGAGCUCCUGCACCAUGCUCGGGUGCGCUCGCGCCACCGGGAGCACCCAGUGCCACACCCCCGGCAACAUCAUGCGCCUGUUCCAGAAGACCGUCUUCUGCCUGCAGCCGCCCGGCGACACCUGCACGCGGCGGUCGGCGUUCGACUCCAUGGUGGCCGGGUGCAUCCCGGUCUUCUUCCACCCGGGGUCGGCGUACAAGCAAUACCGGUGGCACCUCCCCGAGGAUCACCACAGGUACUCGGUGUAUAUCCCGGACGCCGACGUCCGGCAGCGCAACGUCAGCAUCGAGGCCGUUCUCCGGGCGAUCCCGCCGGCCACGGUGGAGCGGAUGCGGGAGGAGGUGAUCAGGCUCAUCCCGAGGGUUCUGUACGCCGACCCCAGGUCGAAGCUGGAGACGCUCAAGGACGCGGUGGACAUCGCCGUCGAGGGGAUCCUCGACACGGUGGCAAGGAUCAGGAAGGGUGAGUACGUCGACAGUGGCGGGCCGGUCACUGAGGACCCUCCGAACUUGUUCUCUUCGACGGAGUCGAGAUUCCGGCCGAAACAAUCGGCGCAGGACGAUGAUCACUAGCUCUGUCGGAGUGCCCAAAAACAGAAGUGCAGCAUAGUCGAUUCAUCAGUUGAUUACGAAAAUGUAGUGAUACUAGUUGCUAAAAUUAGCUCAUCUUUCGCCUGUAUUUCAAACCUGUGAUUCAUAUUCGUAUACAAAAGAUUAAUUGUCAUCUACAGUACGAUUCUGAAGAAAUGCAGAUUUUAAUCCGCGAAUGUGCAUGCACAUUUUCGCCGUUGACAAGCUGAGCAGUUCAGUAGCUCAAAAUCGCGAGAUGCAUAUGUUGCCGGCGAGCUGCAUUAGUCCACCCACGAAAUCUCGUUGAUCUGUCAGUCCUCUCCGUAUGAUUCCACUACAAUGUGAUUUUAUUUUUGAAAUACAAUUUGUAAAUUUUUAAGCAACCAACAACAAGCUCAUGUAAAAAUACUCCCUCCAAAUAAAAGAAAAAUGACGCGUUGGAGAUUGAAACGAUCUCCGAACACUUUUUUUAGCAAUGCCAAACACAAUUUUAACUAGCCCUCAAAUACUUUAUAAAAGAUGGCAAAACUAUAGUUCUAUAAAACUACAUUUCAAGAGACAAAUCUACUCAGUAUUUCUAAAUUUAUCUAUAAUGAACACAUAAAAGCAAUACGCAACGAGAAGUUUUAUAUAAUGCCUAACUUAAGACAACUGCAAAACUAUGGCUUAAGUUGUGACCAUAGUGAACACAUGGAAAUGGAAUCCAAGACUGCUUCUGGAAUCUGACACACUCCUUUGAACAAUUGAACUCUGAGACGAGUACAGAAAACGCCUGAUUUUGUGUACAGAACCUCGUAAACUGCCAGUCGAUUUACCGGGCCUUGAGGGGCAAGCAAACCGAAUGCUCGACUAGUGUGCGUCGACGCUCCUGCGGCCGGGUUUCCUUCAGUGAAAUAGCGCCGGGCCGGGCCGGGUUUCCUUCAGUGGAAAAUUGACCUUCACGGCUCGCCGGCGCCGGCCGGGCAGCUUCACGCUUGCCGAUGGACGCGCUCGCGGCGAGAUGCGAAUAGCGGAAUAGGGGGCGUCUCGAUGGCGCGGCGAUGCGUUGCAUUUCAACGCACGAUCGCGCGCGGCCCGACGGCUGAUUAAUGCUCGCCAUUAUUACUCUUGAUCUACGUUCCGCUAAUGGGAAUUUUUAACCCCGCGUCAACCCCUCAAGCAGCGCGGCUGCUGCAAACCCAUGUGCAGACGUGCAGUGCAGGCCUCGCGACGCUGACCAUGGCCAAUGUCCAACGACUCGGUCGCUGGCCGAUCGACCAGUCCAGACGUCCAGUGCGACGCCGGCGCGCGGAUCUCCACGGCCGAUUCUCAUUCUCCUGGCGGUGGACGGCCGAAAUCGCCAUUCGUGUGCGUCAGUGUCUGUGUUACUGCUCCAUCAACUUAAUAGUAGUAUGACCUUACAUUAGAUCCGUCGGCGGAAAAUAACAGAAGCGUUCACUUCUCUUCCUCAUUUUCGAUUGGGACCCGAUCCGAUGAUUCUUGGCUCGUGCAGUCUCCGCUCCGGUUGCUCCCAUCUGGAAUGCACAGACACCAGCCUACACCUGAGCAUGCGUUGCCGUCUCGGGCUUCAUCUGGAAUGCUUCUGAUAAUGUCUCCGGAGCAUGGAGAGGACCGGCGGUCCGUCUCCCGGCGCCCACGGCGGAAAGCGGUGGCUGCCACGCCUCCUCUAGCGCGCCGCCCCGUCGUGGCUCCUGAUCAUAGUCUACUUCUUCCACCUUGCCCUCUUCCACGCCCCACCGGUGCGCGCGGCGCUUGCGUCGUCACCAUCUUCCACAGCCUCAUGAAGCAGGACGACUACUCCUCCCGCGCCGCUCGUCCCGUCGUACUUCGACUCGAUUUGGUAGCGAACCGCACUCCGACCUGUCCAUAUGGCCCCAUCCACUGCUCUGAUCUCCGACGACUCGACGAGCUCGUCGAUGCAGAGCGCUUCUCGCGGCCUUCACCAAUCCACUGCAAGUCUGCAACGCAGCCGCCUCCUUUCCUCCUCUUCCUCGAGCUCGCGGAGGUGGUUGACCAACUCAGCGUUGUCCGGCCACCGUCGGAAUCUGCGAUAUGCCUGCACGGACCUCCGUCCCCUUGCGCCGGCGUCGAGCUCUUCUCGGCCGUCGACAUCACUAAGCCACCGGACGUACACGAUUGCCUAAUUCGGAAAUUAGGGGUCUUUUUGAAAAAUAUGGAUCGCGAUCCUAAGGCUAUUUGUCAAAUACCGGAUCACGAUUAUUAAUCGCGAUCCAUUUAAGCGAGUUUUAUAAAAGUACGUAGGGAUUCAUAUGUAAAAUGUUUAUCCCCGACCUCGCCGUCCCGGGCCCCUUCCGCCGCGAUAGCCAUGGCGCCCCCUUCCAGCCUCCAACGCCGGCGGCUUCGAUGAAGAGAGCUGUGUCUUCACCGCGGACGAGCUCCACGAAGACGUAGCUCAAUGCCGCCCUCGCAAUGGCCCUCAUCCGCUACAACCGGCCUCCGCGGUACAGCCCCCCACCGUCGCGGGCUCACCAUCCGCCACCGCCUCCACUGUCAGCGCAAAUUCAGCCAUUCCCCUAGCCACAUUUCUACUCCGAUCAAUUAUUUAUUCCUCCUCUCUCAUCUGCUCCUCUUCUCCCUGACAAGCGAAGGACCGGAAGGUGGUGGUGCGCUAUCCUCCAUCUACGUGAGGAGCUCAAGCUUGAAUCGAGGACGACGAGGAGGAAAGGGAGCGGCGGCUGCAUACUGAAAUUGCCGUGAUUUAUAAUCGCUAUGCUCCAUCUCCGUGAGGCGCGCGUGCUUAUUCGAUUGGAGGACUCCGAUCCCAUUGCCUGAAUCGACCUGAGCGUGAUGUAAACUCAGAUGUGCAUAUUUUUUCUAAAUACAGAGAGCUGCAUAUCUUUGUAUCAAGAAGAGUAAAAUAUAUUUUUUUACAAUGCGGGUCUUAACGCAGGCACAAAAUACUGAAAUUGCCGUGAUUAACACUGACAGGCCUGCAUCGGCGUGGCAUGCCUGGAUGCUGCAUCCGCGCAGUCCGGGCUCCGGCUGCAUGUGUGCUCUGAGCCGAGGGUACUAUGAUAUGAUCCUUGUCAGGAUCAGGGCCCAACGUUCAGCAGUAUGCAAAGCAAUUCCUCUCAUACGACCUGAAGGAAACCGUGUUUUAAUUUUUCUAAAGGAAACCGUGUUUUAAUUUUUCUAGGUGCAUGGAUGUUUGUAUACAUCUAGAUUUAUAGAUGUUUGUAUAGAUUUAAACGUAGGUGCAUACAAAUAUCUAUGCAUCUAGAAAAGUCAAAACAAUCUGCAAUUUGGAACGAAGGAAGUAAAAUUUAUAUAUGUUUUAUGUCUAGAUACGUAAGUAUAAGUCAUGCACUUAGAAAAGCUAAAAUAAAUAGUUCUAAAACAAAGCUAAAAUGAAUAAUAAUAGGAUGACCGCAUCCCGAGGCAGAUUCCCUCUAUCCGCGCGAGCCAUGCACGCCGUUAAUGUCAGGUCUCUCAUCCCCUACACGCUCGACGUGGAGGCGACGUGGAGGCAACGCCAUUUCCCGGAGCAGCCCGCCAGAACAUCGAGGGCGUAAGCGACGUAGGAUUGGAUCAUGAUUCAGAUUCACCUCUUUUUUUGAGAGAGAGGUGAUUCACUAAUUCGUCCAUCAAAUGCAGCAGCAGAUCAGUGUAUAGCCCAUGGGCCAUUUCAGGGCGACUACAUUUUGCUAGCGAAAUAAUUAGUCCACUGGGCCGUGCACUUCAACAGUAUGGGCCUACUCCUUGAGGCUGAGCCCAGUCCACCAAUCGCGGGUUGCGGCCUCUUCUUCCAGCUCGGAUAUCCUCGACCUCGCCGUUCGUUGCCCCUCUUUCGCCGCGAUCGCCAUGGCAGCUCCUUCCAACCUCCAACACCGGCGGCUUCGAUGGAGACAGCCGAGUCUUCACCGCGGAUAAGCUCCAUGAAGACGUAGCUGAAUGCCAACCUCGCAAUGGCCCUCAUCCGCUACAAGCCUACAACCGCUCUCCACGGUACAGCCCCUGCCGUCACAGGCUCACCAUCCGCCGCCGCCUCCACUGGCGGCGCAAAGUCAGCCAUUGCCCUAGCCACAUCUCUACUCUACUAACUAUUUAUUCCUCCCCUCUCAUAUGCUCCUCUUCAACUUUGACAAUCUAGGAGAGGCGGUGGCGCGCUAUCCAACAAUUCCAGGAGUCUCUAAAAAAUUCUCCUCCAAAACCAUAUAUUGUCCAAAACUAUAUAUCGAGGAUUCUUCUAAAAUUUUCUUUCCCUAAAAUACUAGCUCCCCGAUAUUUCAAAACAGAUCAGGAAGUAUGCCCAUCCAGUUGGGCUGCUCUCUCCUCCCCCUCGCGAUCUCUCCUGCCCCUCGCGAGGUGCCGUCGCCCCUACGCUACCGCCACUAGUCAGCCCCUCCCUCCUAGAGCCGGCUGACGACAGGAAUACCACGGGGGCACCAGCGAUGCGAGGGCCUAGAAACAGGGGCACCAGGAACACGCAGUGAAGGUGCCCAAGCUUGAGGCUUGGGAGCUUGCCACGGCAAGCGUCAAUGUCGUACUCCCUCCGUCCCAAAUUAUAGGUCGUUUUGACUUUAUUAGAUUCAUAAAUUUUGUUAUGCACUUAGAUAUACCCUAUGUCUAGAUGCAUAAUAAUAUCUAUGUAUCUAGAAAAGCCAAAACGACCUAUAAUUUGGAACGGAGGGAGUAGCAGCUAAAGAUGACAACGGCUUGGCUGCAUCCGGUAAACUGUGCAAACACGUGGUGGCGUCUUGGCAUGAUGUUUACUUUGGUUCGAAUGAUUACAUCGUAACAGCAUGAUGAGUCAAAUUUAGAUGAUGGAAAAUAUACCACAUAUGCUGAGCACAUGCCUGACCCCGGGGCCGUUCGCCGCCGACGUGUCGAGGCCCUCCGCGCCGCGCUCCGCCACCGGGAAAAAGUCGACGCACUCGAGCGUCCGGCGAGGCGUUCCGCUCCACUAACCCGACGUCGCCGAGCCACGCUGUGGAGGGGUCGUGGAAGUUGUUGCCCAUCACGUCCCCGGGCUGCGGGAUCACGGGGUUGCAGCUGGGCUUGUGCCACUCGCGGAGGAGCGGGUCCUUGGGGAACGCCACGUUCUGGACUUGGACCGUGUUGUUGUCGCGCCCGGUGUAGAGGAUGGCCGGGCGGCCGCCGAGCCCAACCAGCAGCCGUCGGCGUCGAAGGGCGACGUCGGCUCGAGCGCGGCGCCGAGGAAGGUCCAGUUGACGAGGUCGCGGGAGACGGAGUGGCCCCAUGAGAGCUAGCCCGUGCCAAACGUGGGUGAGGCGCACUAGAGGCUCUCCAGGAUGCGGCCAGAAAUCCACCAGGACAUGGCCGGCGGCGAGCGACGGCGCACCGGCGGCGGCGGCAUGGUCGGGAACGCGCGUGGAAACAAGGCUAUCGCGUGGGAAGCGCGAGGGCAUGGGCACCAGGAGCUCGCCGGAGUUCCAUUCAUGUGGGUUGUUGGCGUGGAGGUGGCGCGAGGCUAGCUGUCCACGGUGAGGUCGAGCUCGGCGGCAAUGGCGGCCUGGUGUCCGCGAGAACCGCGAUUGCCGGCGGGGAGAAGCUCCGCUUGGGCUAGGAGCGGCUAAGGCAUGUGCUCAGGGAGGUGGGGAAGGUCGGGGUUGGAGGAAUUUGGUGAAGGUGGCCGGGGCUCGCUGAAUAUGGCCGGCGGAAGAGCUCGGUUUGGCGCCGCGUGCCGUACUUGCCCCUGCUGGACCGGGGCAGAUGAACGUGGCAGCUGCAUCUGCUGCCGCUCGCGCCGCCGCCGCCGCCGCUCAGCUUCCUGGCUCCCACAAACUGGCGCGCGCGGGCAAAAAAUCUCGCGGGAACGGAUCAGGCGCGCGCGGGAAAAGAAAUCCCGGGGCGAUUGGGGGAGGAGGGGACUCCCGCAAAUACGCAGGACCCAACGUUCAGCAGUAUGCAAGGCAGUUCCUCUCAUCUGACCUGCUGCAUUUUUCGAAAGGAAAAAAUAAAUAAAAUUUAUAUUCACUAAUAAGCGAUUCUCCAAUAGGCAUUCAUGCAACGCAAACUGAAGAAGAGAUGACAUCACUGUAACCCAAGAACACCAUGUCGGUGAAAUUUCGGCAUGGUCCGAUCCUAAACUGCACAAGAAACGAUCACCAGCGACAGUGAUCUGCUGGCUUCGCCGACAAGGAGUCGAUCUCCGUUUGCUUUUGUUCAUGCAUGUUGCACGCUGGGGGAAAAAAGAAGGAAAACAUUCAGUAGAAAACAUUCAGUAUGACUGCAUCCUGAUUCCUGAGGCAGAUUCCCUCUACCGCGCAAGCCAUGCACGCCGUGAACAUCAAGGCCCUCAUCCCUUGCACGCUCGACGUGGAGGCGACCUUUUGCGAGAUAAGGCUGGCCUGCAACGGUCGUCCAUCAAGAAGAGGCAACGCCGUUUCCCGCAGCUGAAAUAUCGAGGGCGUAAACGCAGCAGAUCAUGUAUAGCCCAUGGGCCAUGGCAGGGCGACUACAUUUUGCUAGCGAAAUAAUGAGUCCACUGGGCCGUGCACUUCAACAAUAUGGGCCUACUCAUUGAGGCUGAGCCCAGUCCACCAAUCGCGGGUUGCGGCCUCUUCUUCCAGCUCGGAUAUCUCCGCGCUUCCUCACCGACCACCCAAUCUCACGCCACCAGCAAACAUGCUGAGUUCUCCGAGACUCGCAGCACCGGCCGCCUCUCGCGGCUCCCCCUCCCCGACUCUCACCACCACCACGCCCACAGGUCUCGGAAUCCGUCGCCGCCGCCGAAGCGGUCUCCACGCUGCACAGCCCGAUACGGCUUCUCGCCACCACGGCGACCGUGGUCGCCCGGCGCUCCACCUCGCGAAUCCCGUCGCCUCCGCUUCUGUCACGAGCACCAGCUCGCCGGAUCCCAUCCAUGGGCGAUUCGAGAGCGAUGAGCUCAGGAGGCUGUGCCGUGGACCCAACCCGAAGGCCGCCAUUAGACUGCUCGACCAAAUGCUCCAACGAGGAGGCGGCGCCGAGCUCCAGCCGGAAGAGCAAGCCGCGCUCCUCCAGUCCUGCGCCGACUCGCGUUCGCUGGCCUUGCUAAGGCGGGCGCACCGCCUGCUCGCUUCCAGGCCCUCGUCCGCGAUCCCCGCGCCCAUCCUGCACGGGAUCGCCACGCUGUACCUCAAGCUCGGCGCCCGUGGCGACGCGCGGCGCGUCCUCGAGGGGCAGUCGAGGCCGCCGCCGCCGCGGAGGGGGAGGGAGAGCGAGGACGCCGCGGUCCAGGCGAAGCGGCGGGAGGCGUACGAGAAGGUGCGGGAGCUGCACGAGCAGAUCCGCGCGGCGGGGUACGUGCCGGACACGCGCCACGUGCUGCACGACGUCGACGAGGGCGCCAAGGCCCGCGCGCUCAUGUACCAUAGCGAGCGCCUGGCCAUCGCGUUCGGACUGGUGAGCACGCCGCCGGGGACGCCGCUCCGGGUCAUGAAGAACCUGCGCAUCUGCGGGGACUGUCACAACGCCGUCAAGCUCAUCGCCAAGGUCACCGGCCGAGAGAUCGUCGUCAGGGAUAACAAGCGGUUCCACCAUUUCAAGGACGGUGUCUGCUCCUGCGGAGACUACUGGUGAGGAGCCUUCUGGACACCUGCAAUUGAUAUAACACGAAUUCCUCUGUUGCCGUUGCUGAAACUCUUGACCAAGCUUGUGACACUUGUUAGUGACCAGAGUUGGAUGAAACAUUUUCUUUGGCCAAUUUGUGUUUUCAUGCGUUGGCCAGCCAAGAUGACUCUCAAAUCUCAACUACAGUUUGUGGGGCUGCUAGUACGCAAUUCAGUGGUAGAACAUGGAAAAGGACACAAUGCUAGGCAAGGGAAACUCUGAAUUUUUUCACAAAUCGAAGUAAAGAAUCAAGAGAACAGAACAAAUGAAAUCUCGAAGCUCUACGACGUGCGGCGGCGAGAGCUCAUGGGCUCUGCUCGAUGCGUGGCCGGCGAGGCCGUGCCACCACCGUCCGCUGCUGGGACUGGCAGACCUGCGCCGGGAACUUGCACCCGAAACGCUUCGUCACCAUCGAGCCCCACCUCCCGUCGGUCGCCGCCGACGGCGCCCCCCUAUCCGCCGACGCCCCGCCCCGCCGGUCCAUCUUCUCGAUGGCUUUCCUCAUGCUCGUGCACUCGCGCUCGAGCUCCUGCACGCGGCUGCGCAUGCUGUCCAUGUCUAGCCGCAGCAUCUGGUUGCCCCGCGUGGCCACGCGCCACGUCCCGCCGCCGUCGCUGUCGCCGCCGCCUUCCUCCCCUGACCCCGCCGCCCCGCCUUCAUUCGCCAUGAUCGUCCGCGCGAUGGCCCGGCGUAGCUGGAGCUGCUCGAAGAAGAGCACCUGCACGACCGUCCGCAGCGGCAGCCGCUCGUUCUGCGCGGCGUGCGUGCACGCCUCCAGCGUCAGCUUGCGCCCGUCCACCACGCCGCUCACCUUCUCCUUCUCUUCUUCGGUCAGCCCAGGAUGAGCCUGCACGGCACAGAGAGCAGCCAAACAAGCACACUCAUCAGCACGGCAUUGCUUCACAAGUUUGCAAACGACAAGAUCACGAGAAGAACGCCCUGCUCUCUCACCUUGAGGUAGAUGUCGACAGCCCGGUAAAGGCCAUCGUCGUACACGCGGGCGCCGUCCGGCAACGCCCAGGCGAGGUCGCAGAACUUGUCCGGCUUCAGGUUUGCAUCCGUCGCGAUCUCCCCCAAGUACGCAUCGACCAGCCGCCCCACGGCCAGCAUGGCUCGUCGGCUAGCCUCUCUGCCCGGCGUCUCCGCCUCGCUGCCCUCGUCGUCCUCGUUGCCCUCCUCGGCGACGCCGCGGCCUUCCAGGAAGUACCGCACCACGCGCUCGACGCAGUCCACGUCGUAGAGCGUCUCCACGAGGUACGAGUAGCUCGGGACGAGCAGGUCAUCGACGGCGGCGUCCGGCAGCCGCGCGGCGAUGCGCCGCUCGAGCGUGUCGCGGGACGCCUCCGACGCGUGCAGGAUGCUCGCCGUGCGCAGGAGGCCGAAGAGGACGCGCGCCGCGGUGGCGCCGACGGCGGUGCCGGUGUGGGCGCUGCUCUUGACGGUUUCCUCCGGGAGGUUGGCGAUGACGGUCUCGAGAAGCGCCUUCUGGUCCCCAUCCGACGACGCCGGGGCCGAGGCCGCCGCGGCAGCCGCGGCGCCACCGCCGCCGACAUGCCGGCCGGUUCGCGACAGACCGGGGAUGGACCGCUUGGCGUACGCAAUGAGAGCCCCCUCGAUGACCUCUGGCCCGACGCCACGCUCCUUUAUGGCGGCAAUGACACGGGUGAACGUGGCCAAGGACAGACCGGCGAGGUCGUCGAACCAGGUGGCUCCGGCGGCUGCGCUGUUCUUCCGGCGCUGGCGGUCGCCAGCCCUGGCGUCGUCGGGGAUGGGCCAGCCAAAGAGCGCCGUUGGCGUGGACGCGGCGGCCUUGGCGGCGAUGGCGUCCACGCAGCGCGACACGAGGCCGAGGCUGUCGGCGAGGGGGAGGAGGCCCUCGCAGGACUUGAGCGCGCGGAUGGCGUCCCUGGGGUUCCUCAGGACGGUCUGCGAGAUGAACCGGUCGGCGCGGGAGACGAGGUUGUCGUCGGAGUGGUCGUCGGUCAUGCCGAGGCGCUCGGCCGCGCAGCGCAGCGGCGCAGCGGUGGCCGGCGUGAGGUCGAGCUUGACGCCGUAGCAGAACUUGGCGGCCAGCUCGAACACCUCCGCGCCGCCGGGGAACUCCGGGAGGCGGAUGCGGUGCACGUCCGCCUCCUCGUCCUCCUCCAGCACAACUUCUGUUUCCUCCUCUCUGAUCUCCCCGGCACCCUCUUCUUGCUCCCCUCCUGUGGCCUCGCGUGAUUCCUUGUUCGUGAUGAGGUCGUGAAUCUUCUUGCUCCGUGACAUUAACGGGAACUGCAUGAAAGGCACCGGAUUUAGCCAACUUUUGGGGAUCAAUGAGUGCCGAAUUUCCCAAACUUUUUGGCAGCUCGAGAUUAAGAAAUGGACCGCAUCAACUCACGAUAGAGACACUGGACAGAUUAGCAAGGUGGAAUAAAACAGAGAAUGGUAAAAAAAACCUGUAAAAUUGAAGGAUAGGAGGCAAGAUUCACGAACCUUGUGGAGAUGGAAGGUCAUGUCGCCCACCUCGAUCACGACAUCACUGGGCAAUCCCGUGGUGCAGAACCUGGCGAGCACAGACGCGCAGAUCAGAGAUCAGAGAACAGCAAGCCACCAAACAGGCAAAAGAGAAACGAAAGGAAUUGCUUCGCUUGCCAUGCUUGGCCUUUGGAGCUGGCCGCCGCCGGCGGCUGCUGCUGCUGCUCCCGCUCCCCGCGAGCCAUCUCCCGUGCGCUCUUCCUCCUCCCCUGCAUCGAACAAUCCUUUCAAGAGCAGCAACGGAGAGGCAUUUCUCGGGAGGAAGAGCUGCCCGUGGUCGUGGGAAUCAGGGAAUUGGGGAGAGCUCGCUUGCUACUCGCAAUAAUGGUGUCCUGCCAACCUAUCCCCGUGGUUUCUUUGUUUUAGGUGAGGGGAGUAAAGGAUUCCCAAGUGGGGGAAGACGAAGACAAGAUGGUGUUUUUGGUUUUUUGAACGCCGUUGCGCUUGCCUCAAAAGCACGUAUCCUCCAUUAGCCCAUUUGUUUAUCCAGCCGUCCGUACUCUCGCUUUCCCGUUGUUUAACUACUGGUUUAGUACAAUCCCUCCCCGUAAGAUCCCCUCGCAUGAUCCUGUUCAUAGUUCCAUGUUCUGACAUGAAAGAUAAAACUGGCCCUGGUUUCUACAUAACCAAUUCACACGCGCUGACCAGGUCAAAUCCAUGAAAUUGCUCCAAACAUCUCAUCGUACAAAAACAAGCUGGUUUUCAUUUCACCAAAGAUCUACUAUAUCUUGCUGUUGUAGUAACAUACAUCGGAGUAUUAAAAAGGAUUCAGACACCGUCACGGUAGAGUGACCACAACAGCACCAUUAUUUUAACCCGGCUCACCGCGAGCCAGGCCAAUUAAGUACUAACAACGAGAAGAAUGAAGGAAUCUCGUGGUAAAGAUUGUUCUUUUCCUUUUUAUCCAGGACCCCAAGAUUUUUUUCCUCACUCCUUGAAACCAGCAUCCAUGCCAAUGCCAUAUGAUCCAGGCAUCCUUUUUUGUCCUCUCAAGGCCAAGGUGAAGGUGGAGUGUGCUCUCAAGUUUAAAAAACUUUGAACUCCCGCUUCUGCUCGCACCUUGGCUGCAGAUCGGAAUAGUAAAUGCGGAGGCGUGAUGCCGUCAUCAAUGCCGGAGGUGGAUGCUGUGCCGCCGUGCACGAGAGGGAGACUGGGAGAGUCGGAGAGAGAUGUUUGCAGGAAGAGAGAGAUCAGAAUUCAGAACUGCACAAGGCAACAGCACUGGAAGCCUGGAAGGUGAGCCCCAUAUCCGCCUGCCGCCCGCUGGCUGCUGCUCCCUCUCUCCGUCUCUCGCCUGAAAAGAGAGGGUGGCUUCUGUGGUGCCACCUCGCCACUGGUGCCGGUGGUGGCAGGCCGGAGAUAGUGUGUGGGCGUGCCCUGCGCCUGCUGGGGAUGGGCCUGGCAAUGCCAUGGCAAGGAGGACAGACACACAAAAGGCACAAAGCCGAAGGCAAAGGACAAAGGCUGGCUGGGGGGUUCACCGCGGCACUACGACAACCUUGGCUUUUGAAUGGUACGGCAAACAGUCGUUCAGUUCUUCAGGGGCGUGUGUUGCUGUGCAGGGUUUGUCAUGACACGAGCCGUCAGGUUUCUACAGGGUAUCUGUAUAUCAUUCUGGAUGGAUCAUGAGCAGGAUUGGGAUGUCUGUUGUUUUGUACUUCUACCUGUAGGCAUUGGUCGUACAAAUUGUGGUUGAGGCGGUUCAUCAGGUUAGAGAAAACCAGGGGAAUCUAUACUUGGAUUAACCAGAUGCAAAAGCAGGCAAGAGGCUUUCGGGCAAGCCUAGGGAGAUGGAUUGCUUCAACUUUCUCAAAAGUUUCCAAAGCAUUGGAGUGCGAGAGAGAGGCUAAAGGUCAAGGCUCAAGAGCCAGCCUCAGCAUGGUUUUCCUUGACCGAAAUGCUCGUGCCCUUAGGGGCUGUUUGGUUGCAGCCCUGAGCUGAAAUUGCCUGGCUGCACACCUGCCUGGAGCUUGCCUGCAUGGUGUUUAGGGGGUGUUUGGAAGGAGGGGACUAAAUUUUAGUUCCCAUCACAUUGAAUGUUUGGACACUAAUUAGGAGUAUUAAACCUAGAUUAAUUAUAAAACUAAUUACACAACCUCUAUGCUAAAUCGCGCGACGAAUCUAUUAAGCCUAAUUAGUCCAUGAUUUGACAAUGUGGUGCUACAGUAACCAUUCGCUAAUGAUGGAUUAAUUAGGCUUAAUAGAUUCGUCUCGCGAUUUAGCCUAGGGGUUCUGCAAUUAGUUUUGUAAUUAGCUUAUGUUUAGUCCUCCUAAUUAGUAUCCGAACAUCCGAUGUGAUAGGGCUAAAGUUUAGCUCCUGGUAUCCAAACGCCCCCUUAGUUACGGUCCUGCAAGGUUGAUUGGAUCAGGCAGCAUCAACCCCCACCAGGCCGACGAAAUUGAACGUCUGGCUCCAGUGCGGUGGUUGCCUGGACUAAUGGCUAUGAUUACACACUAAUCAAUCGUAUGGCUGCAUGCACGAUCUUCCUAUAGCUUAUUUGUCUACGUAAAAUCAAUCAAAUAAUAUUCCCACCGUAUAAAACAUUAACCCAAUUUACUUCACCUUGUGAAAAAUAAGGUUUCCAUAUUAUUUCUCAUAUUAGUUUAAUUAAAUAUAUUUAUUGUUCUAUUACAAAUAUUUAUUUUAUAAUCUUAUUAAUAAAAAUUAACAAGCAAGUCAUUCGACAUCCGCUAACCAUGUAUCAGUGUCUAUUAAAUCAUAUUUUGGUAUAAAAAAGCAAAUGAAUGUUGUGUUUCCUUUUAAUUAGUGUUCUCAAGCACAGGCCUCCGACCUAGCUUUCUUGAUAAGGCAGAUUUCAUCAAAUUUUCAGUCAACUCUAAGGCAGCAUUUUUUGCCAGGCAACUUGUUCAGGUCUCCAACCAAACAAGCCCUUAGAGCUCAGAUGAUUUCAGCCCGGUGAAGGUAGUCUGAUUCUGAAUGACCGUGAGUCAGGUGUGGUCUUCAGAGCACAUGAGUCCGUGGCAUCAUCUCAACACGCUGCUGGAUCUGUUUCUUUCGAUGACACGCGAUCGACUUCGGAGUAGGGCCCAAUCUUCCCAGAAAAUUGGGUAAGAAAACUAGACAUUUGGCCGUUUUGGCGGAUAUCAAUGAGGAUGCUGGCAAUCUUGGCGACGCAGGAUAAUGGGGCACGAGCAACUAGUGGUGCAUCAGCUUUGUCAAGCAUUUGUGGAUCAUUUUCAUGCGCUCUGGUCCUACACCAUGGACUGCCUUUCCCUGAUCUUCAUGAAAUGAGCGUGCAUGCCGUGGUACAACUCGAGUAAUCUUUGCAUUCACGAGAGGAAGUUCUUUAGAUUUAGCCUUUAUGCAGUUCUUUCAGUCUUUGCUUGCGAAAAAGUUAGCCCUUCUGGGUCCUAGCUAACAUAACGUUAAUCUUGCUUCGAUGAGGGCGAUUCCACUAGUGUUUAAUCCAAACUUAAGCUUGCUCAUCAGAAACGGGCGUUGUCCCCCGGGAAUUUUCAGAACAAAUCGUGCAAUUUCAGCAGGCUACUUUUCGCACAGUGCGUUUUGUAUGGAUGUUCAUCUGAAACUGAAACAUUGUACAUGAGUAGGGGACCACUCUGUUUUUUUUUCCUCAGAUAUCAUCAAUCGGUACCGGAAGAACACAACGACAAGCAGGUAAAGAACUAGUCUUAUGCCGGCAGAAAGUUAACGCGAAACAUUCCGCCGUAGAAUGUUUACAGCAGUAACAGUACAUCGCAAGGGACAAAGCUGACGGGACUAAACAUAGUAAACAAAACAAGCAACAUUCUCGUCUUCAACGAUCACGAUUAGGAAAACCUGCUGUAGGCUCACAUGGCGCAUGAGAAUUGGCUGCAUUAGUAGAAUGAUUAUCGGGACUAAUGGCAGCGCGCACUUACGUCUCACGGCUGGAGAUUCAGAAACUGUCAAGAUCUAAGCACAUCUCGCAGAUGUGGCUGGCCCUUGGCCUCUCGCAGCACCUAAAAUUCCUCUGGCAAAUCUCAUAGAUUAAUACGCCCAACCACUGCCCAUCAUUGGUCCAGCAUUGCAUUUCAUUCCAUUUCGUUCCGUUUCGUUUUCCCCUUUGUUUCUGCACAAGCCUCUUGACAGGAGUGCAGGACCAAGACCAACCCUGACGAUGGGGACAAGAGAAGCAACGGGGGCACGCAAGCAGAGACAAACAAUGCCAGCGCGGCUUGGCACGAUGGCACGCAACCGUGCCGCGAGUUGGCAACGAAUCGAACGAUCGGCAGGCGACAGAAUGAUCGCGCGCAGCAUCGCAAUCGCUGGCGCUUUCCGCUCGCUUAUGAGUGAGCCGGCGAGCGAUCUGCGCGCGGCCGCGCGCACGCGGCCCCAAUCAUACGAGCGUCCGGGACCCUACCCGUUCCGGGUUUGUUUUUGGCAUCAGGGGACACGAACUCCGGCAGAGCCAGCGAAGCAUCCACCACGCCUGGCCAAAGCACGUCACGACCAGCCAGGUGACGAAUUCAGCGGGGAAGCCGACCCUAGCCAAGCCGACGUCGAAGGCUGCUUCCAGCACCGUGGUUAUAGAUGGUCAGAUGGGUCGUCCGGCCUUAGCUCGGCACUAACCUGAUUUGGCCCGGCUCGACUAGGCUUGGCACGGUGGCUUAGUUGUGUCGGGCUGAACCAGCACUACGUGCUGAAUUGCCGGCCCAAGCUCGGCACUACGAUCCUUUUGUUGUGCCGGGCCAGCACAACGGCAUGGCAGGCAAGUGCCAGGUCAAGCCCGAAAAGCAAAAGAGAAUUGAAGAGGAAAUCAAACUAAGAUGCAAAAAUCAAGAAAUUCUUCACGGAUUCACAGUAAUCACCAAAUACACACAUCGAAUACAUCACACAAAAUCCAUUGAAAAUGAAUGUGUGGCGACAAGCGUGGCCCUAGCGCCGUUCAUGGCCGCGCCCCUGCGGCAACAGCAAGUGCACCGCCUGGUGGUAGCCCCUGGCGGCGGCGGCGGCAGGCGCGCCGAUGCGAUGGCGGUGGCGGCGAACGGCGCCGCUCCUGACCGAGCCUCCCGUAGUGUCGGCGACCUGGAGCAGGCGCGGCGACCGGUCGCCAGCGCGACAAGGACGGCGGCGGAGGAGUGAGGGGAGGAAGGGGCGGCGGCUGGGAAGGGGAAAGUGGGGGCAAAGAGUUAGAGUUUUCUAUAUUAAUAUGGACUAGCGAAGGUGGUUAGUAGGCUGCCGUCGGACCGGCUCAAAAAUCACUCGGGCUGGCCAAGGUUGCGGGCCAGGCACUAGCCCAACCAUAGGGCUGGGCCGGCCUGUGUACUACUACCCUCAUGCCGGCUGUGUUAGGGCCGAGCUUUUUUAGGGCCAGUCCUCGGGCCGCUCAGCGGGCCUGGCCCAUCUGGCCAUCUUUAGUCCGUGGCCGGCGCGUUCGGCAUGAACAGGGGGUCAUGUAGUCUGGCUGGUUUCUUAUACCGGUUCGUUUUUAUGCGUAUCCAGGUACAUCUGGGCCUGUUUAUUGGGCUGGUUAGGCUGCCUGGGCUUCUCGCCCAUCGUGUGUAUUGGGCCUUUUCUCGUCCUUCCUAUUACGUACGCCACUUCUGGAGCCCAGAGUGGCCGAGGCCUCGUGGAUCGCACGAUUCCUGGCGCCGUGGCGCCACGCAGGCCACCCACAUCAUCCUUCCCCUCCGUGGCUCCGCCUCCGUGUUUGACUCCGGCGGCUCGUGGAGUCGUGGUCUUCCUCGGCUGCCUUCUCCAUCCCGCCGAGCCUGAGCUGCAAAAUACUACCACUGAGAAGAAAUGGCGAGUGUGGCCUCCUCGAGGUGCCCCGGCCUUCUCCUCCGGCCGAGCCUCGCCGGAGCCCGAUGCUGCCCGCGCCCGUCCUCUUCCCUCCGCCUCCGUUCGCGGUGGGGCCGGCGCCACCCGAGGACCCUCGCUUGCGUCGCGCCGCCGGACUCCGCGGAGCCACAGACGGUGCGCUCUGACAGCACACCAAGGACUCCUCUACCUUGUUCCCGUAUUGUUAUUUCGUGCAUGCGAAGUGGAUCCCUGGAUUUUUUUUACAGUAAUUCCGUGCAAAUGAUGAUUGUUCUACUAGAACUUCAAAUUCGUGUAGAUAGUUGUGGGCAUAAACAUGUUACAGGAAUUUUGCACUCUUGAGAUCAGUACUCCUGCUAGUGCUAGGAUAUAGGUUUCAACGAGAUGCUAAUGGAGUGAUGUGUCUUUUGCUUUCACAGGAUGAGCAUACUGUGAAAGCUGAGUCGACUGAAGAAGAGGCUCAGACAACCAGCACAACCCAGGAUGCUGGACUUCCAGCUCUCCCAAACAAGGAUCUCAACAGAAGGGUAGCAUUACUGUCCACUCUUGGGGCAGUGGCUCUCUUUGCAUCGCAGAGGCUCAAUCUUAGUGAGGCAUCUCUUAAAGAUCUUGCAGCCAAUGCUGUGCCAUAUGAAGAGGUCAGCGCUCCCUGGACUUUAUGUGGAUUAUUUGCCUGAUGCUGCAUAUUUACUUGGAAAAAGUCUAAAUUACUCCCCUCAAGUAUAACCAAAGUCUGGAUAACCCCCUAAAGUAUUUCUUGGUUCAGUUUACCCCCUAAACUAUACCAUUUGGUUCAAUUUACCCCUUAACACAAUUUGUCUUUUUUGUUUCUCCAUGCACAAGUGGAGUUUUAAGUUCAGAUUUUGCAAGAUGGUAGUAGACAACAUAAGACAUGUUAAACAAUAUAUCAUUAAUUUUUCAUCACUAUUUUGAUAGGGUAGGAUAUUUAAUAAUAAAAUUUAUCGUUGAGAUACAAAAUUAUAUAAAAACUAAUAAUGAAAAAUUUAUAAAAUAUUUUUUAAUAUAGAUUAUGAUGUCCACUACCAGCCUGCAAAGUUUCAAAUUAAAAUUCAACUUGUGUAUGGAGAAACAAAAAUGACAAAUUGCAUUAUGGGGUAAGUUGAACCAAACAGCAUAGUUUAGGGGGUAAAUUAAACCAAAACAUUGUUUAGGUGGUUAUCUGGACUUUCGCUAUACUUGAAGGGAGUAAUUUGGACUUUUUCCUAUUUAUUUAGUUAAUUGGUUGGUGCCCAAUGGAAAAAUUAAUUGGUAGGGAUUUACAUGUUGUAAUGUCGCAGUAUCAUCUUUGCAGUUGUUGUUCAUGAAAUGCACAAUGAGAACCGCCUGGAAAGGAAUAAUUUCGAUAGACAAAACAAUGUUUUUUACCUGUCAAUGAAUCAAUGCAUCGUUGGUUGCUUCAAGUGCUAUCGGUACUCUUUGCUUAAUAUGUGUUUCGUCUAGCUCCUGUCGUUAUGUUACCAACAUCCUUCAGAUUAAUUUGUUCAAUUUCGUUCACUUUGUCGAAUUGCUUUUUGAAAAAAAAACUGCUAGAGCUGGAAUCUCAUUAAUUCAUUUCUUUGCCAGGCUGUGCUGAUUGUAUUUGUUUUGCAUAUGGUUUUCUUCACUGUAAAUGCUGGUGAAACUUAACCUGAUAAAUGCAUAUGCAGUGAUGCAACACACUAUUGUGUAGGACAGCUCCACGUUGCUGCUACAAAUAGAUAUAGGUAUUGGAGAAGCCUCUCCAAUGUGCUAAUAGGUACAAACAGCACAAAGUGUUGAAGGAACCACUUCAAUGUGGGCAAAGAUAGACCAAAAGGUCGAAUCCGAAUCCAUGGAUAGCAAGAGCUUACUACAAAGCCAUUUGGGUACAAGAUCUAGUCCAAGAUCUAAAGGGUAGAACAACAUGUUCUAUUUUCUAUUGAUAACUAUAAUGGGUACAUCACAACCAUCUUACAAACUUGAGGCUUGCCUCUAUUUAUGGGCUGAUAAGCCUUACACGACUCACACACAACUAAUAUGACAACUAGAUAAAAACUCACAUAUGGCAAAUAGGUAACAAUUCAUGUGUAGCUAAUAGACAACUAAGCUUCAAGUGUAGUAGUAAAAACCAAUUUUGCAUCUAAUUCUUGAAGUGUGAGAUGAGUGUAUAUUUUCAUAGUAGAAGAAUGGGAUUUGUCUUCUAACUCUUGAUAGAAAAAUCCAGUUUGAGUUUUGACACACUUAUAUUCAUGAACCAUUUGGCUAUAUGUGAUGUCCCUCAACAUGCAGGCUCUUUCAAAUGGCAAGCCCACUGUUGUUGAAUUUUAUGCGGACUGGUGUGAAGUUUGCCGAGAGUUAGCUCCAGAUAUCUACCAAGUUGAGCAACAAUACAAGUAAUUUUUACACCCACUUUUCACAUUUCUGCACUUACGUUUUCAUCCGGAAUAACAACAAUGGUCCAUUCCAUUUAUUCAAGAAUCAGUACUAGUCUCUGCUGCAUUAUAUCCUAUUAGGAACAUUCCAUCGAAUCCUUGUUAUAGGCAUGGCAACCAGGAUCUGAAGGUGCUGCACUGCAGGUACCAGCUGGACACCAUCAGUUAGGAUAAGGCCUUAAAGCAGAUUGUUGGGUCUAUUCUUAGAAAGUUAUGUGUAUGUGUCUGCGGAAGCCAAAGGCUAUCAAUCCUGGCCGCAUGGUGCUUUGUUAAGCAAUGGAUCAGGAAAGAAACAUUAGUCUAAGUCUACCCAAGAGUUUUAAUUCCUCCCGAGCAGAAGGCACCGCCCAGCUAUCCUCUGGUGGUGUUUACCCCUUAUGAUCCGAUCAUAACAAACCUUAUAGCUGGACUGCCACAGGAAGUAGUUCUGUGCGCAUAGGUUGUCCUUAUUUUAUAAUUCGAAGCAUAAUCAAUCACAAAUCUUAAUCAAUCUAGUGGAUAGAAAGGCAAAUAGGAGUUCUGUUUACAAAAGAAUCUAUCGAGUUUCAUCAACGGCAUUAUGAUUAUAUCCAACAACCAAGACACAAUUAUUGACCAAGCUAGUCUUUGCAUGUGUUGUUUUUAUUUCCUGUCAAUGAUAUUUACAUACCUUGAACGUUCUUUUCAGGGACCGUGUCAAUUUUGUCAUGUUGAAUGUCGACAAUACAAAGUGGGAACAAGAGCUUGAUGAGUUUGGAGUAGAAGGCAUUCCUCAUUUUGCCUUUCUAGAUAAGGAAGGAAAUGAGGAAGGCAAUGUUGUUGGGAGACUUCCAAAACAGUAUUUUCUUGACAAUGUGGUCGCACUUGCUUCUGGUGAUCCCAACAUUCCUCAUGCACGAGUUGUUGGUCAGUUCUCAAGUGCCGAGUCUAGGAAGGUUCAUCAAGUUGCUGAUCCCAGAAGUCAUGGCUAGUAGUUGUUGGCCGUGUGGUAGCAGUAUAAUGCCAAGACCAUUUGACAAGUAAGCCUUCUUUCUCUUAAAUAAGUCAGUAAGUUGUAAGUACAUAUGUCAUGCAGAGUUUCAGUGAAUAAAUAAUAUCUCAGUGACUCUAAAAAAAUGCCUCAGUUGUGUACUUUUAGGACUGUUCAAGCUAUAUAUCUUUAGCAAGAUAAUAAUACAGUAUGCUGCCACUUUUAAAAUUAUAUAUAUAGUAUGCUACCACAAGUCCACAACCUGUCGAUUUCUCUUGCACACAGAAACGGCUUCCUGCCAAAAAACCAUUGGACCUUUUGCUAAGGCAAGUUUUUGAACCUAGCUAAUAUAAAAUUGCCUUCAUACAAAGAGAUGAAACAGCACGUCGAUUUCACAUUUCAUGAUUGUGACCCCUGCCAAUUUUUAAAAAGCUAAUCUGAUUUUUGCAGGAGGCGACCCUAAGACUAUGCUAUUAACACAAUCACUGUCUCUUGGUAUCAAGCUUGCGGGAGCUGGAAACACCGUAAAUGCCAGAAGAAAGUGCUACAGCAAUCGUCUAUGCCAGGUCAUGAGGAUGUGAUGUGCCUGUUUCAGCGUUGAUUUGUCAGUGAUAGGGAAACGGUUGCAUCUUGUACUGAAAAAAAUGCAGAGGUACCGACAUAGUACGUCAGUACAACCCCGAAUGUGCAUGUACCACUACAUUAUCAAUGUUUUCCAGCAGGGUGUAGGGGCUACUGGCCCAUGAAAGCAGCUCACUCCUACUCGUUGUUCGUGUAACACAUGCUUAUUGUGCUGCUUUCAGCCUUGAUAUCUAUCCCGAUCGACCAUAUUCGGUCUCCCAUUAUGACCGCCAAGUCAUUUCCUUUUGUGCAAUCAGGUUGUCUGCCACUUUGUUCACUGUCCUGCAACACUUUUCUGUGCCUCUGCAGUGCCUGCUUGAGAGCACCGUCCCACGAGGGAUGAUUGCAGCCAUAUACUAUGACAGGUGGAUCAUGUGAAUGUGAUCAGUUGUGAUGUUCCAUGUAGAAAGAGCAGAGAAGAAACGGGCCGGACCGGAACUGAUGGACGCCGAGCAUUAUUCUACAGGGCAGAGUCAUGGCUCGUGCCGGGGAACAAACACGAGACCAACGACUCCACCUCGGUGGAACGCUGACCGCGCGGUCUGGUCAGACUCGGGCCCGUCGUGCGGCCGUGUGUGAACCCCGCGAGGUCCUCGGCACGACACGAGCGCAGCGUGGACGCGUACGGCCGGCCAGUCAGAGUCAACCCGGGGCAGGAGCGUGUGAUCUUGCUGAUCGCUGACUCGCUGCUAGAACGGGGCUCCGCGUCUCCACGGAAACGGGGGACGCCGGACGCGGACGCGGACGCGAGCAGGUGGAAUGGAAAAGCCGAGGCCGGCAGAGGCAGAGCCGAACCGUGGUGCCCGGUGACGCCGUGACGACGGUGCCGCGUCUCAGGCGGAAAAAGGCAGAGGCGUGCACUCGCCCUUGCCGCGAGCCCGCGAGCAUGGUGCGCGAGGCCCACAGGCCCCAGCCUAAUGUGACGGCCGGGUGCAUUACCUUUUCAGUCAUCAGUCAAAGUGUUUCCAACAGAAAAAAAAGAACGUUUCUUAUCAUUGGGCCCAGUAACUGGCCGGAGACCACCAAGAGCAUGCACUGUGAGUCUGUGAUGGCCCUAGGUGCGUGUCGGCGCGUGCAAACCUUGAUCACACUCGCCGGGCAGGCAAGAGAAUAAUGAGGCUUGGAAUCGUUCCAUCGCCGAUCGGCGCUCCUCAUACCUGUCGACCACAGCGACCACCGAGCGGAAAAUCCCCUAGCUAGCUCGAAUCCUUUCUUUCACCAGCUACUGCCGCCGACUCGCGCUGCUCAGUGAUCACACGCCGAGGUCAGCGGCCGCCGAUCGAGGCGUCAAUGUGCCACCGGCCAGCGGCCAUCCGCCCACGAUCGGCGGCACCGUGACGCUUGCGAGUACGUUGGAGCUGAAAGAAAACGAUAAAAGAAAGACCGAGGCAUGAGCCGAGCUCUGCGUCGAUACCUUGUGCCAUGCGGCGCCCAUGCGUCGAGUCGCCGCCGACGCGCGGCAGCUCUGAUCAUCCACGUAGCCGUCGUGCCGUCAUGCCUGGCGAAGGCAGCGAGACGCUCAACCGAACAAAAAAACGCAUCACUUCCUCGCAUCAUUCAAGUAACGAAAAUUUUGGUACAACUCCCGUCAACAAUUUCAGUUUCUAACCAUUAAUGUCUCUUAAACAAUUAAAUUUAAUAUUUGAAUGUAGGGCUAAAUUAGUCUCCACCAUACUCCCUCCAUCUAUGUUUAUAAGAUAUAGUAUGAUUUAAGCACGAUCUUCCAAAUAACAUUUUGACCAUUCAUUUAUCUUAUUCAUAUUAUUUAUGGUUAUAAACUAUAUAAAGUUUACAUUAUAAAAAUAAAAAAUUAAUAGUUAAAUUAUUAGUAGAAAAUUGUAAAGUUUGAAUCUUAAUAUGUGUGUGCGCCUUAUAAAUAAAAACGGAAGGAGUAGUUUUUAAAUUGUACCUAACAUUUGCGAUAUUUAAAAUGUAGUUAAUAUUGUUGAUCGAAGCCAACUAUAUAUGGAGAGUACUCUCCCCCCAACACUAGAAAAAGACUUGUUCAUACACGUAGUUAGUGGGGAUCCCACCUUUAUCCUCUAUUUCUCGCGGCGCACCUCCUCUCGCGUUCUUAUAUUCGCGCACGGCGCAUCUUCCUCUCACGUUCUCAUAUUUGCGCACGGCGCAUCUGUCUCAUGAGCUCUCACAGCGCUCCGCCUCCAAUGCCUUUCGCUUGGCUCCUGUGGCGCCGCUGCGCGCCGAUGUAGAAUCAUACAAAGCCAAUCCUCCCGCUCGACUCUUGGUAGCGCUGCCACCACCGAUGAGAGGGGCGAACAGCACGGAGCCAACACCUUGCAGUGCCACCAGUUUGACUCCCACCACCAAGGCGGGUGGUGCCCCAAGGCAUCACCAUUCUCGUCGGCGACCCGCCUCCACUGCUGGUCGACAAUCUACCUUGAAUCUUCUUCUAUCCCGACAUCAAAAGUAAUCAUAUACACUCGAAUCCUUAGGCUCUACGCUCCUUCUAUCCUGACAUCAUAGGUAAUCGUAUACACUCGAAUCCUUAAGCCUAAGGUCGUCGGAGUCGCUGAAGUUAGAGUUGUUACAUGGUUGAUCAGUUUUAUCACUUCCUUGCUCUUUUCUUUUCUUUCUUUUUUUCCGUUCUCUUUCCUUUUUUUCAAAAAUGUAUUCCAGCAGUCUUCUACAGCAUCAUGCAUUUCUAUAUCGAGGGGGCUACGCAUCAUGCAUGUCUAUAUCGAGGGGCUCUCCCAUUAUCAGGUGUAGAAUGAGAGCCUCUAUUUUUAGACGGUUAUUAAUUUUAUUGUUCAGGCGGUGUCUUUGCUACCGUGUAGCUGUCAACAACGAUAAUCAUUUGGAGACCUGAUGACAGACUGGCUUAACAGCAUCACUGUUGGUGCUUAACCACACUGUCACUCUCGACGCAAAUGGUUGAGCCGUACGUGUGCGUAGCGAGAUAGAUCAAAAAGAAUCAAUCACCUUUAAUGGCCAAGAGAGUACUCCACGCUCCUCAACCCAUUUCACCACGUGCGUUGCCUGUUGCCCGCCGCCGCCCGGCCGUGACCGUGGACGCGCCGGGCGACCACCAAAUCCACGACGCGCCUCCACCGGCCGGCCGCACUUGCCAACGGACCACCGCCGGAAAUGCCCCACGUUUCCCACUCCCUCGCCCCCCACGCGGCCGCUGCCGCAGCUGCCUUUCCCUCCCUCCCUCCCUCCCGACCCCGAGACUUUUUAAACGCACCCAGAGGCAGCCUACUGACACCCGCACACUUUAUUAUACCACACCGACUGGCGCCAGCGCCACGGCACUCCACGAGUCAGCGUAGCCCGCGUCGUGGACCGCUAGUCUCCAGCACCGCCGACCCCGCCAGCAGAUCAAGAGAUGGCCACGGCGACCUACCUCUCCUUCUCGGCGGCGGCGCCGUCGUGGCAAGCCCGCCGCCAGCGGCAGACGACGCGGGCGGCCGCGUCGGCGACGGACCGGCCGCGCGAGGUGGUGUCGCCGAAGCAGCGGCUUCCGCUGCGGAAGGUGCCCGGCGACUACGGCCCGCCGGUGGUCGGCGCGCUCCGGGACCGGCUCGAGUACUUCUACGGGCCCGGCGGUCGCGACGGCUUCUUCACGUCCCGCGUCCGCGCGCACGGCUCCACCGUGGUGCGGCUCAACAUGCCGCCGGGCCCCUUCGUGGCGCGCGACCCGCGCGUGGUGGCGCUCCUCGACGCCGCAUCGUUCCCGGUGCUCUUCGACACCUCGCUCGUCGACAAGACGGACCUCUUCACGGGCACCUUCAUGCCCUCCACCGACCUCACCGGCGGCUACCGCGUCCUCUCCUACGUCGACCCCUCCGAGGCCAACCACGGCCCGCUCAAGACGCUCCUCUUCUACCUCCUCUCGCACCGCCGCCAGCACGUGAUCCCCAAGUUCCGCGAGGUGUACGGCGACCUGUUCAGCCUCAUGGAGAACGAGCUCUCCCGGGUCGGCAAGGCCGACUUCGGCCACUACAACGACGCCGCCGCCUUCUCCUUCCUCUGCCAGGCGCUGCUGGGGCGCGACCCCACCGAGUCCGCGCUCCAGGGCGACGGGCCCAAGCUGAUCACCAAGUGGGUGCUGUUCCAGAUCAGCCCGCUGCUCAACCUCGGCCUGCCCAAGCUCGUCGAGGACUCCCUCCUCCACUCGUUCCGCCUCCCGCCGGCGCUGGUCAAGAAGGACUACGACCGGCUCGCCGACUUCUUCCGCGACGCCGCCAGGGGCGUCGUCGACGAGGGCGAGCGCCUCGGCAUCCCGCGGGAGGAGGCGGUGCACAACAUCCUGUUCGCCAUGUGCUUCAAUUCCUUCGGCGGCAUGAAGAUCCUGUUCCCGUCGCUCGUCAAGUGGCUGGGCCGCGCCGGCGCGCGCACCCACGGGCGGCUGGCGACGGAGGUGCGCGACGCCGUGCGCGCCCACGGCGGCGAGGUGACCAUGAAGGCGCUGUCGGAGAUGCCGCUGGUGAAGUCGGCGGUGUACGAGGCGCUGCGGAUCGAGCCACCCGUGGCGAUGCAGUACGGGCGCGCCAAGCGGGACAUGGUGGUGGAGAGCCACGACUACGGGUUCGAGGUGCGCGAGGGGGAGAUGCUCUUCGGCUACCAGCCCAUGGCCACCAAGGACCCGCGCGUCUUCGCGAGGCCCGAGGAGUACGUGCCCGACAGGUUCCUCGGAGACGACGGCGCGCGCCUGCUCCGCCACGUCGUCUGGUCCAACGGGCCCGAGACCGCGUCGCCCACGCUGCAGGACAAGCAGUGCGCCGGCAAGGACUUCGUCGUCCUCAUCGCGCGCCUCCUCGUCGCCGAGAUCUUCCUCCGGUACGACUCCUUCGACGUCCAGGUCGGCGCCUCCGCGCUGGGGUCGUCGGUGACCGUCACCUCGCUCAAGAAAGCCACCUUCUGAUUCUGAGCUCUGCCUCUGAUCGACCGCCCGUCGAAGUCUCACCGCAGCAGGCGGCGUGCAGAUUUUUUACUGUAGAAUAUACUGCGCUGCCCCCUCUCUCUCUCUCUCUCAAUAUUUCUCCAAGUGUUGUGCUACUGACCUACUGUGUCAGUGUCACUGUAUGAUCGGCAGGCAUGGAUAUGGAAGUGUAACCAAAUUUCUUUUCUUGGUAAAACAAGAGAAUACUUUUCCCCAGGGACCUUUCCUGUCUCGAGACUUUAGGUCAAGAAAAAUUGCUAGUGAUCCGAGGGGGACAUGCACCUAUUGUUUCAAGCUGGCUGUCCAUGACGGACCCAUCUAGUAAUGGACCGAGAUUCCAGAGUAAAGUAGUAGGUGAACAGUGAUGCAAAUACCAUGUUCAUCGGCCGCGCUAUUAAUCAGUUGGAUGGGACUGCAAAUUAUUGGGAGAUGAUUAACGCCAAACCUACCUUGCACUUCAUUCUCUUGGGGUCCAUGACGUGCACUAGUUGCUGUUGCAACUUGCUUCAAUCGAAGUUGAUUCCUGAAAGUUGUUUGGUUCGGAUGCUUGGUUUGAUUUCUGUUGAAAUCUUCUGAUCAUGCACUAAUAAAGAUAAUCCAAAGUGGAAACCGGAUAAGCAAGCUCAAAGCCCAUGGAAUUGGCACUGCCCAUGCCCCAUAGGACACUUUCAACGUACGAGUCCCCAAAUGUGCUUAACCAUGGAGUAGCCAAAUGUGCGGCUAUUUGUAAAUUUUUAAGAGACAAAGCUCAAAUGUUAUCCGAAUUUCACACAGAAAAGCAUCUGAUUUCCCUAAGAAAGGGUAAAAGGUUCUGCACUUCAAAUACGGCAUAGAUCUGUAGGUCAUGGGAUCGCGAGCUUUCCUCGAAAGUGGUCGGCAGCUUUGCCGAUCAACAGGCCACAUGGACCGACCGGACGCCUCUCAAAAUAGGACCAACGAGCCAGCCAGCCCGAUCAUGCAUAGGAGCAUGGAGAACUCCGGCUGUAGCCGCAGACAUGAGGCAGUACGUGUAUAUGGGGCUUAAAUAAAAGACGUAAGGGUUCCAUACCAGUGCUGCCGGAGGUCACCUAAAAUGAACAGGCAUCACCGACGCAAACGCCUCGCCUAACAAUCCCACCCAUUUUCGGCUACUUUUUCAUAAAGGGGUACGCACUUGCAAAGAUUCGUCCACCACAUCCAGAUUAACCAGACCAAAAGGCAAAACGACAGAUAAGAAGCUUGGAAUUCCACGGUCAGAUUAGAGAUCACACAUUUUUUGUAAGCAACAUGCGUAACCACUCUAGCAGACCUGAAUUGACAAAGAUCUGACUCUUCGCAGCCACAGCUAUCAGUUACAAAAAGUAUUCUGAUUGAUGUCUCCAGGGUUCAAGUCUCACGGUACCUCGACUAGUUCCACAGGGAAAGAAUAUUUUCAUCACGUGACCACACCUGCAACUCACCUUCCAGGAUACUUCUGGUACACAACCUCAUGUACGAGUUCAACAUCCUCGAUUCUAAAUUCAGAAUUUUCCAUGAUGGCAACUUCACCUAUCAAAUAAUAAGGCAAGAAAACAUUUUACACCAACAGAACGGGUCACAAGAAAGUAGUGAUUAACAUCAGGACCAACACGCUUUAGCUAAACAAACAAUAACAUUUGGGUGCAACACUAAACUCUACAGAUGGAUAAAAGCUCUAGUUGAAACCAGGGUUGACAGUUGACACACUUUAGUUAAUUGAGCUAGCAUACCUACUCUCCUGGGCAAGUUAAAAAAAAACAAUUUCAGUAGUUAUACUAUUCACUAGCACCACUAUACCAAAAAUUCCCGCAUGCCGAUUCUAAGAGUUUUCUAUUGUGGGCAUGAGUUAUACAAAAUGCAUAAAAGAUACGGAAUCACAUCAGAUUGCCCCCAUAGAUCAGCAUCUUGAUGCAAGAUCCAACCUUUGCUUUAUUAAAUAUCGAAUCGUGGGCCACAUGGAAUGAUGUGCUAUUGGACCACUCCGGUUACCUUAUUCAUUAUGGUAACAUGUAGCCAUAGUAUUAUAAACGACAAGGCCAUGAAAACUAUUAACAACAUGGACAAUCCAUUGAUGGCUAUUGCUAUGUGGCUCAUGUUGGUUAUAAAACCAAAAUAUUCAAAAUUACGCAGCCCAAUAGUGUGCAAUACUUUGUCUCCACGCUCCACUGUCAUUAGUAGCUGUUAAUCAUCCACGAAGUUGUUCUAUUCCAGCAUAAUUCACAAAUUUGUAAAAAACUGAUUAACCAUUUUGUGCCACAAUUCUAUUAACUGAAAUGUUGUGCUUCCAAGAAAGGAUAACAGGUAAACUCAGCCCGAGUACUCGAGAAAAAAAUCAUAAUAGGAAUUUAAUUUUAAAAAGGUCCAUUAUGAUUUCUACUUAAUGCUGCAAAAGAAUGUUUCAUAAAGGCAGACUGUUUCAGUACAAUCCAUGGUGUGCAAUACAUAGUCCAUUGUUUCUUAUCUAGCAUUCAUGCCAAAGAUAUUGAAUGUAAAUGAACGGUAAUUUGAAUUUGUAGCCGAUCACAACAUGGUUAGCCAUUAUCUUAUAAUAACUCCCUUUCUAAAUACAAAAUUGACUUACCAGAUAAGUGCACACCACUAAAAGAUAGACAUAUCAGGUGGUGGUCCAUAAACUGAUUUCCAUGACAAGGGAACAGUCCAUCCAUUAGACCCAUUUCCUGUAAGCGCACAGAAAGAUCCAUUAAGAAGAUUAGCAAACAUUUGUUAUGACGGCAGAAUACUAAAUAGCAACAUUCCAAGAAGAAUGAAAUUAACAAAGCAAUUUAAAAGAGUAUAAAGCAAUUCCGCAUGGCCCUUUAGUAGUUUGACAAUAGAUGAAUAGAUAGAAAUACACUUUUCUUUUCUUUUUUCGGUGGCUUCAGUCAAAAAAAAAAGGGAUAAGUGUUGUGAUAAUAUAUAAAUGUACCAUGGAAUUUCUCAGGCUCAUGACCUAGAAGUUUACAUACUGCCUCAGCUAACUGGAAAGAUUCUGGCAUGUUGUCACCUUCUGAGCAGUAGCACAGUACACAAGAAACCUUCAAACCUUUAGCCUAUCACAAAUAAAGACAUAUUGUAACAGUGACUCCAACACUCAGUGAUAAAAAAACUUUUGAAGCUGAAACAAAAUCAGAUACCUUGCAGGCAGAGAAUAGUGCUGCAAAUGGCAAGCUCGCAUAGUAAUCAUUUAUUGUCAUCUCAUCAGUGUCAUCAGCCAUAUCUUCAGAAAAAUCACCACCCUCGACUAGGCCAGUAAGACAACUCCAACGCUUAUGAGAUAGGUCAUACUCCUCUAGCUUCUUCCACCCCAAUUUUUCAUAUUCUGAAUCAGAACCAUCUUCAUUGCAACUUGAAAGGUAAUACACCUGCAUGUCACUACAUAAUAAAACAAGGUUAACUAAUCAACUCACUCUUGACAGAGAACAUAAGAGAUCUGCUGCAGUUAGGCAUUUCAGUUACCUGGAUGCAUCAAUUACCCUCCUCUUGCCAGAAUCUAAACUUGAAAGAAUAACAAUAUGGUCCUUUCCAAUGGUUUUUAUGAAAUCAGCAACAUUUUUUGCAAAUGAAACCAUCAUUCCCUAUAUUGGUAACGAAAAAUUAACAUAGUCAUGAAAUAAUCAGGAACUAGCACUAAGACCGCAAGAACAAAUAAUAGGUACAGAAAUUAAUAUAGAAACAAGCUAAUGAAAACCUAAAUGAUGCCUACAAUUCUGAAUUUGCUGUGCCUCAACCUCAACAUAGAAAAGAAAAUGGAUGAACAUAACAGCACUAAAUUUUAUUUUAAUUAUUCCAGCGAUAGAGAUUACUAAAUGUUCCAUGUAGUUCCACAAGAAUAAGAAUUCCAGGUAUGAUGUUUGCAAAAGAAAUCUAAGUUCUAAUUUCAAUAAAGAAAGGGGUAUAUGCACAAUUUUCAUACUGUUCUGGGUCACACAAACUUAUGUCUAGACAGCAUUCCAGGGGCUCAUUAUCAAAAGAUGUAACUUUAAUUGGACGUGCAACAAUUAUGUUGCUUUCUUUGACAAAUUCAUUUCAAUCAAAGGAAUUUUGAUCUCCAGAAGAAAUAUGUUAUAAUGUAAAAGUUUGCAAGUUGUACGGUAUGAAGGUAACGAAGCAAAACACAAUUACUGUCUUGAUGUAACUGAGCACAGCAAGACGAAAUAAAGUUACAAAUACCAUGAAAUUGGUGUAGCAUCUAGUUUCUUUGUCUCAACCAAAGGAUUUUUAGAUGAGAAAAAUCUGUAUAUGUGAAGAAUAAAGUAAACAGCUUAGCUAAGACGAACGUACUGUAAUAACUGGAGAUCUUUGCUGAAUGAAAGACAGCCUAUGAGAUGUAGAUUCAUAAGCUGCCAAGAAAAAGACAGAAAGAUGGUCAGUUUGAAUUGUGCAUCAACACUACACGCACUGUCUCGUGUGUUUAUAACUUAAGGUGUAAGUAAAUUAAAGUAUCAAAAGGACCGUUCUACUCCAGCUGGAAGUCAGCAAAUUAUCCAUCGCACAACCUAUGGCACAGUAUAUAGGCUUGCAGUACCAGUAGAGCGGCAACACAUUUCAUCGAACAGUUGGUGUUCACGGGAUAAUGAGACUAGCAGCACAGGAAUGCAAGCAACAACGCUGACGCAACUCAUCAAACAGGAGGUAGGAAUAUCACAGUAGAGUCAAUUAGAAUCCAAUACCCAACCUUCGAGGGCGAGGGCGAGGUCACCGACGGCGUCGGGGCCGAAGGCGUCGUUGCCGGCGCAGGGCAGCACGGAGGGCUCGUCGAGGUAGGCCACCCGCCUCGACCUCGCCGAGGAUAUCAGCAGGUCGACGGCGAGCUGACCCACGUUUCCGAUCGACAGCGCCGGCUGCGACCGAGAAAUCGGAAGAUAUGAGGAGAAGGUACUAAAAAUUCGAUUCCAGCAAAUAUUCAGUGGUAGCUCGCAGCGUUAGGGUUUCGAACCAUGAUGAGCGUGGGGCAGGAAGGCGAGAACGACUCCCCCUCGACGACGGCGAACUCCAUUGCGGCGGCUGCCAGGCGAAGGCGCAGUGUGUCUCGGGCUCCGCGGCUGCCGGUCGAAAGCUCUCCCUUCCUUGAGCGAGAAGUUGAAUAGACGAUUACUACCGAGGAAGAAGAUCUCUCUGUCCUCUUCCACGUCUCUUUUGUACAGAGGAAUUUCAGAUUCGGCGUUUCAGGCUAGUUUGGGCCGUGGAUUCUUAUCUUCUUAGCGAAUUGAAGGUGACGACUCCAGUUCUGGGCCCAAUUGAGCCUGCCCAAAUUUGAGAAAUCAACAAAGGAAAAAAAAAUAGAGCCCCAUUUUAACAUGCCAACCUUCUUUAUUAUGAGAGGAAUAAGGUGUGGCUAGGUAUCAUCCGAGAGAUUUUCAUCUAACAUUUCACCCACAUUUUCGACCAAUGGAAGAGAGCCACGUCAUGCAACUAAUCCAAAAAAUGGCAUUUAUCAUUUGGCUGAAAAGGGCAUCCAAUUUCAAUCAAAAAGGUAACCAAUCAUACGUUUCAUGCACGGGAAGGAAUCUGAGUGAAAAAAGAAAGCAAAACAACCAGAUUUCGGUAAUCACGUUUCCACAUGUACUUGAGCACAAAAAAUAAGCAAACAUAUAUGGUGGAAAUUUACAAACCUCCACUGUGUGGCAGGUUUUGAGUGAGGGCAUGUGCCCUCACUAGCUCCAAUGUGGGCCCCGCCCCUGCUGGUACCUGUUAGUGAGAAAAACAACUUCCAAUUCAUGACAUAAAAAUAUAAAAUUUAUUUUUUCAAUAUUCCAACCAAAUAAAAACAAUGCUAGUUUGUCCUUAAGAGGUCUCCAAACCAACAAUUGAAAAUGACAACUAAUGAAAGAAUAAAGUAGAAGAGAAAUAAAAGAAAAACAACAAUAACACAAUUUUUUAUAUACACAUAACACAUUUUUAAUGAACGAAACAAUACCACGUCAAAAUAAGAUAAUAAUAACUAGAAAAAUAAAAAAUGAAUGAUACAAAAUACUUAAUAUAAACGAAAGAACAUACAACAAUAGAACAAGAUGAAAAAACAUUAUAAAAAAAAGAAAGAAACCUCCCACGCGAGAGCAGAGCAAACUUGCCAGUGAAGAAAGAACAAUUAGAUUUUUUCCAUUUGUGAGAUGCCGUUUGUGCUUGAUAGAAAAGACAAUAGCAAGACAUAUGUAUUGCCCCUUGCUCCCACUUGGCUUAUAGCUUCAUAUAAGAGUGGUUAAUUUACACGCUUCCCAUGUUGCUCACUAACUAUGGGAAGCGCAACACUUGCUCUCCACUCUAAAGUAAAAUAACGGCCUCCCUCAAACAUCAAAAUCACUAAUUGUCGUUCAAAUUCUCCUAUGGGCAAGCAAUAGACAAGCCAUUAUGCGAGUUAUAGUUUAAAUGGCACUCAACAGUUGAAUGACAUGUGGCUACUAGUAGCAAAUAACAUAUCUAUAAUGAGAAAAAUGUCAUGUAUAAAGGUUUUAUCAAAUGCUUCUAGACAUUUGAUAUUAUCUCACCAUGUACACCCUAAUGAAUCUGGGACAAAAUAAAUUUUACACACGAGAUUGAAUCAACAACACGAAAAAAAAAACCUAAGAGAAAAUAAAAAUGCUACAUCCGUCCAUCGAAAAAGUCAAAAUACAACUGGAUUCACCCCUCGCACAAAGUUAAAAAAAAAAUGAGACACCCACCAUAUGUUACAUUACCGUUCAAGCAACAAAUAAGAAAAGGACAACAUAAAAUAAAAUGGUCAGCACGCCAACGGCAUCUCAUGAAUUCAUCAACGGGCCAAUCAAACAAACAGAAACAAGCCUAGAAGUACUCUCUGUGCGACAUAAUCUCCAUCGGCUGCAGGGGCGGAGCUUGGAGGGGGGGGGGGGGGGGGGGGGGGGUGCAUGGCCACCCCUGCCAUUGACAAUCUCCGCUACAGAAACAGUAAAUCGACUACUGUUCAUUGAUUUUCAGAGAAAAUUAGUAUGCCUGGCCCUCUUGAUUAGUUGCUCAAGCAGACUGCCAGGGUAUGGGUAUGAACAACAGCUAACAUCAUGGGUAAACAAGAAAACAAAGCCACCAAAUCCCGAAUGCAAAUUAACAUAUCUGAGAUGCUAACCAAAGAAAUAUUCGCUUCGAUCGAAGACAUAAAACCCAUAUGAUACAGUUGCACGUCUAACCACAGUGGCACAUAAUUACAGUACAAAACACCAGCCGGCCCCCUUCCUCCUUCCGUGUAUGUACCGUGCACCUACCCUGCUGCUAUACACGCACCGCCGCGCUCUCCGCGACUCCGCCGGCCUGCGCGUCAAGCCGGUGCGAAACGGUCCAUGAGCAUGCACACCACGGAAUCCGAGUCGGAGAGCACGCCGCUGUUCCGCCUCCUCUUCUCCUGGACAACAACGCCCUUCGUCCCGCUCUCAGCCACGGCGCCAACGCCACCGUCACCCUGAUGGCUCCGGCCGGCUUCCACACCGACGGCCUGCGCCUCCUCAGGCCGGCCAAUCUUGGCGAACGCCUCCAGCGAGACACCAACCGCUCCAGCCAUCCCUGCACUCGUCUCAGCUGCGCCGGCCUGCUCUCACUCUACACACUAGACACCGGAAAGAACAAGGUUCUUGCGCUACUAGCUCCUUUUCCACUUGGCUGCUUUGGUAGCCACGAGGCUCUGGGUGCUCUACUUAUACGCGCGUCCGGGGCUCUGGAGGCGUGGCGUUCUCCACGACGGGCUACGGGGAGUGGUAAUCGUCGUCGCUGUCCGCUUCGGGGCCGGGGCCACGGCCACGCCCUCGCCUUCGCCCAUGUGACGGCGUGGCGCCCGCGCGGCCAUCGUGUGGUGGCUGGCCGCCGAGGGAUCCGCGCGCGGGCCGGUGAUGGAUAUACCGGUGCCAGCCGUGCCGCGGCCCCGCGCGGGCGGGCGAAGGGAUAUCUCUCCUGAUUCCGCGCGCGGAUGCGGAUCGCCGACCGACGGGCGGAGGCCAUCGCCAUCCGCUCCGUGUUCGAGUUCCGGCUUGCGUAGCGGAGGAGUAUUUGAUUCGGGGAAUCAGAUGGAGGCUCAACAAGCGGUCCGCGGCGAUGUACUGUUUGUGAGGUGCAACCGUGCAAGGACAUCCAUCUCCUUGCCACACGGUCUUGGUCGGAGUUUCACGGGAACCGCGAUGGCAUCCGCCCGUGGUACAUGCCGGCCGGAAGCCCGAAAACGCACAAGCGCUCUUGUGUUUUUACUAAAGUUUCGUGCAUUUGUUCGACUGCGUAACGUUAUAUGGGUUUCCCCUUGGUCUAGGGUAGCAGGCUAGUCGAUCGAUCAUCAAACUCAUGACAAUUAUCUCUUCCGUCGUAUGGUCAUCUCUGAGUUCCCCCGACAGGUGUUAAAACAGGAGCUGGAGAGUCAAGAGAUCUUCUUUGGAUGCUACGAAGCAAAAAUAUCUCCGUGUGUGUGUAAAGAUUAUUGACAAAUGACAAGUAUCUGAGAUCAAAUAUCCCGUUUAUAGUCGAGUGGUGGUGGUGAGUUUACAGCUCCCUCGCUUCUACUUGGAUCCUAUCGGUAUCCUCUUUGCUGUGUUCUAGCACAUGAAAACGAACUUGAUCUGAGGCAUCAGACCAUCUCGAUGUAUCAGUGACGUUCAGAAAAUACAAACAUCAUUUGAUGUUUCAGAACAUUGCAAGAAACUGCACAACGAUUACGUGGUAAGUGGUAACCUACUAUAUCUUUGAUUACAGAUUCGGUCAUAUAUGUUCAAAAGAUCUACUGCCCGAAGCAAUCGACUAGGAUGGACAAGAAAGCGUCCUCCUGAACGAACGCCGGCGCGCCACCACCAGAAGCAGCAGCAGCCUGCUUCUCGGCAGCGUUCAUCACAACCAGGGCACCGUCAGCCGCAGGCACACCAACUCCAUCGCAGAUCGUAGCGGCGCUGCUGCUCCCACAAGAUUGAGGCCGCCGAGCCGUGCCGCGUCCCUUCCGUGCGCCACCGGCCACCGACCAGCUGAACGCCUGUGCGCCCCUGGUCCGAGCCAUCCUCUCGCGCUCCAGCGUCCAAAUAUCUAUCAGGCUUGACAUCGCGAUCGUAGCAGCAGGAGAACUGGGACAGGCAGCUGAUGAGGUGAAUGCGAAGAAGCGAGAGAUUUGCCGAGGGAGCUACCGACGCGAACGGGCCGCUUAUAGCGGUGCCCUGCACAGAGAGUGCUCCAAGGAAUUGUUUGGAAUCUGGGGGUCGUUCCAUGCUCGGCACACAGAAUUGAAGCUGCAGCCGGUGUGAGUGAGAGACUGAUCAACUAACUGCGGCUUUUCAGUCUGCGUGCCCACAGGCAUCCGAUAUCCGGGGGCGUGUAGCAUAAGUCGGCAGAAAGUUUAGCCUGUCAGUUGCUAUCCGUAACACGCGCCUCGGCUCGAUAGGCCGCCGUGGCAGGCAGUUUCAAGCCCGGUGCCGAGCCAGUGGGUGGAUUCGUGCGAUUACCGUGGGCUCGAUGACAGCAGCUCCGGCAUAUUUGUCAGAGUCUCAUGGACUAUUCUGCUGCUGUUGCUAUCACUUCUGCUCCUGAAUUGCUUUCCGUGUGGAACGUUUUGCGGGUGUGGUUAUGCACAGUAGAAGGCCACACAUCCGGCGACUGGCCUGCAGCCUGGGCCGCAAAAUCAAAGUGGAGUAACAGCUUAUUAGAGUUGGUGAUAUCAUAUACAUGGAAGAGCGUCCGAAAACUAAAAUAGUCAUAACUCUUAAACUGAACCUUCAAAACAAAUUUUGAUUGUACCGUUAAAUUUUUUAUAACAAGAUCGUUUGUAGAAUAUUUUUUUAAAAUUUUUUUAGAUACAAAUUAAUUAGUUAUGACUACUGCGAACAAAUGUUUGAACACCACAAAUAAAUAACUAUGUUCUACGAACAAAAAAUUAAAUAUGUUGUGGAGGAAGCGAGGACUUUGGGUCGAGUGGGCUUCCAAGGACUCCGCUCGUUGAUGCAGCUUUGAGUACCUUAGGUCGUGGUGUUUCUUUUUCAGUUUGUGGUUUACAGCCUGACCAAAUCAAGUCUUUUUUCUUUUUGCGUGGUCGUGUAUCUUGGUUGUACAUGUUCAAACUUCUCCUUUUUAAUGAAAAAUGUGAUAUCCACGUCUUUAAAAAAAUCUACGGUAGAGAAUGGGUAGAGAAUGGGAAAAGGAGGGAAAAAAACAGAGAAGCAAGAAAGAAAAUUACCGUGGGCCUCUAGCUGCAUGCUGAGCCUACAACUCGCACGCACGUCGGCCUGCAUGCACCACCUAGUAAAGCAUCGCUCCGAAAUCAAAAACCACAAUAAACAGUAUAAUUGGGCCGAAAUAAUUAAUAGUGGGCCAAACUGAACAGGAAGCCGGACCAAGGCGUCGGACCGGUCCGCUGAAGGUGAUGACGGCACAACUGUCGCGUACGCGAUGUAUAUUCGCGACGGCCUUUUGUCUCUUGGUAGACCGAUGUCGCUGUCGUGGCUUUUGCCGCGUGAUAAGAAGCUUGGUGGGCCGCAAACUGGCAUGGUGAUUGGGCAAAACGCAUGACACGGCGGCGGCGUUGCUUGCUAGCGGAGGAAAAGCCGGAAACCCCCCGAAAGAACCAAAGCGCGUGGCGUGGAAGAAAGACGGCCGGCGCCGGUUGCUGCUCAGACGGCCAUCGCGGCAUCGCCUCCCGUAGCCCGAGGCUUCGUCCGCCGUUGCUAGUUUGCGACCCUAUCGGAAUCUCGAUGGCUUCCACAGUAUAGCACGGUGCUCCGGCCACGCGACCGGCUCUGUCGUCGUCCCAUCGCCUCCGGUAUGCUGCAACGCCCUCGUCUCUUGUUUCUUGAGCACGGUACGGUGACCGUCAGUCGUCUCGAGAGAGGACGCAACACAUCCAGCUUCUCUCUCAAGUUAUUUGAAUCAUGCGGCGGGGUACAAAUAAGCACCUAGGGAUGUCAAUGGGUGCGGAGGUGAGGUGGGGUGGAGUAAAAUUCCGCCCUCAACAAGACCGGCAACACUCGAUCGCACCCGUCCUCAGACAGACCCGUGGGUGAAACGACACACCCGCACCCGCACCCACAGGUCGCCCUCGGGUUUCGGUUCGCCCAUGGGUACAACAUACAAUAUAUAUCAACAUGAUCGCACGAUAUCAGGCAAUAUAUAAUGAUAAGAUGCAGUAGCACAAGAUGAUGGAGUUGGAUCUCUAGAUGCAGUAGCACAAGAUGCAUAGGAGCGGGCCACUAGACAGCGCGUCUGCUGGCUUCGUGCCUCUGCCUCCGCGUACAGGAGGCCAGGAGCUGGGAACUGGGGAUGGCGGCGUGGAUAAAGGGAGGGAGAGGGAUUGAGGGGAAGGGAGUGAUUGAGUGAGUGAAUGUAUAAUCUGGGAUUCUUAGGUUGGACCAAAUUCAUGGUACAAAGGAUCAUGUGUCAUGAGGUGAACUAGAAUAUACCUUGUUAUGAUGGGCCUCAUUGAGCACCCAUGGGUAAAAAUUCACACCCAUACCCAACCCAUCUUAACGCGGGGUCGGGUCAGGUCUAGACCCACUAGUAGAAUUUUGCACCCACGCCUGCACCCAUCGGGUGUGAAACCCACGGACGCCCGCAUCCAUGGGUCCGACUGCCAUCUCUACCUGUUAUAUCUUGGUAAAGUCCAAAAACAUAUGAUUCACACGCUCCCAAGGGAUCGAUUAAAGCACUCUCGAAACUUUAUAGAUUUCGUUCCUCCAUGCCAACUAUAAAAUCCAUGGGAUUUCUUCAUUCACUUUGAUCCAUCAACACGGUUAGCUGAGCGAAACCAGAAAGAAUUUGAUUACGUACGUUCCUUUUUGUCACAGGUAUUUUAGGCUAAGUUCUUCCGGGCGCUCCAUGCUCCAGUCCUGCCUCCCGAGGGAGAUCUCCAGGUUCGGCGCAUACAUGUCGUCUGCCAGCAGCUCCACGCUUGCAAGGGACGGAGAAGAAGAGCUCGCUGGGCUCGAGCAGUUUGUAGCCACCGCUUCAGAUCUUGCGUGCAGUCCCAUAGCAAGGUGACGAUUUACCUCUUCUUGAGCUGCCUGAUACAUUACCAUGACAAUACAUGCAUGCAUAAAUAACAGUUUUUUCCUCCAAAGGAAUAUAUGUGAAUGCCAGCACUAUCCCAUAUACUAUUUCAAUUCAGAGCGAUGAUAUACACUUCUUCAGAGGAGCAGUAUACUUUUUAUACUCCACGUACUAUAUGUCCUGAUAUCAGUAUAGUGUUUUUUUGAUAUAGUGUCAUGCCUAGUCAAACAGUAUAGUGCAAAAAGAGCUGCCAAAUCACGUGGCUUGCGUGCAUGGUGGAAUUACCACAGCCUUUUCGUUUGUCUGCAUCAGACACAAUAUAGAUAGUUCUUGCGUGUGCACGUACCUGGGUAUCUUGAAGCGCUGGUGGUGAGAAAUUGUGUUUCUGACACCGGUGAGCCGAGUCAACAAUUGCAGCACCUUUCCCCAGCACUCCUGGUGCGUGGUCAGUCCUGUGUGCUCAACAAAUUAACAGAGAGCCCUUAUCAACUCCAUGCACUCGCCAGUAGUACUUGUAGUAGCACACAAUGUGUUAAAAAAAAGUGAAACCCACUGUUAGCCAUUUAAUCCGUGGUCAGAGAUGCAGGUUAUCAGUAGUUGCAGCAGGGCUGCGCACAGAAGAUAAAAGUGUAUACAGAAGGUUGCGCAUCACUGCCAAAUACUUCGGAUUCUAAAACACGCAUGGUGCAUGCAUAUCUGCUUUAUCAUUGCAGACAUGCACGAACUAGCUUCCAUGUUUCCUUGUAGCUUUGCCCCGUGAUGUUUAGUGUUGAUGCACAGCGAAGGGCUCUGGUGCUGCCGCAUCUGGCGUCGUUGCUGUAGCAUAUGGGAACAUGCAUGCCUCGAUUUGUCCCUACCACGCUCCGCUGCUUGCAGAUGAACAGGAGGCCGGACGCCCAUAGGUCAACAACUUGGAAUACUGUCCCACUGUCUCUCAACUGAUCCAUAUUUGCGUGCAUGGGCACCGAACAUAACCCAGAACGGCCAGAAGCCAAGCCUGCAGCAUAUCGCAAGACCUCCGACCCAUGUCUAGCUACGCAUCUUCUGCCAUGGAUCCCCUGUGUGUCCUAUUGAUCUGCAGCAGCUUCUUUCUUUCCUCGAGAAACGUGUGGUUGGUUUGUACUUAACCUAGACUCACUAUGCUCAUAUUAAUUGUUAUAUUAGCUUCCAACGAUUUAAGCUGGUCAGGAGACAGAACUCCAUUCCGUCCAGCUGAAUGAUACAUGCACAGAUAGCUGGUGAGUUCUGAGGUCUAUGGGUCGAUUGACCAUAUGAUCGCAUCAGUGAACUGCGACCAAGAGAUAAGAGAGAGAGAGAGGGUGACAGGGAUGGUGAGCACCUCACAGCACGGAGCGUGAUGAUGGCUGGGGCCUGGGGCUAACGGACGCGGACGCGGACAAGGAGAAGCGUGCAUGGAUGCGUGACGACACGGGGAAGAGGUCGGCAGGGGGACAUAUGGGCUACAGCGAAAACACUUGUUGUCGCUCAGUCCAUGCCUGGGAUAAAUAUAUAUGCUACUCCAGAUUUUAUCAGAGAUUAGGGGGUGGAUCGAGAACUGAGGUGCAGUCUGGACUCUGGAGAGAGGACAUGCUCGCAGGAAAAUGGGGUAUAGUAAGCAUUUUUCUCCAUGACAUUCUAGCGCUGAAUAUUGCUGGUCAGCUCAAGUAUAAUAUUGAUGGAUUUUUAACAUGUAUAACAUAGAAUAAUAUUAAUUCGUUCCAUAAUUUUGUGAGAGCUAGUACAGUAAGCAAUGGUUAUUUGAGACCUUCAAGUGUUCCACUGACCACUAGCCAAUCAAUUUGACAAUUGCUUUUUCAAUCAAUGAUUAUUUGAUAAUAGGUUUUUUUGGGCAGAGUUUGACUACAAUUUUUUAAAGCUUCAUAUUUUAGCUCCAAGAAUUUAUGUCAGUGAAGUUACGGGCCGGAUACACCGAAAGUAUUUGGAUGAUGCAUCUUGUUUUUAUUACUUAGACUAGAAAUAAUGACUUAGCAAACCUGUAUUUUAGCCUACAAACUCUAGAUGAGAUGUGCAUGUGGGACUUGGGAAGCCUCUGGCAAACCGGGUCAAUUUAUAUAAUGGUGAGGCGCCUAUGAUAAAUGUCAAUAUCAAGAUCUAUCGAACCGAUCUCUCAUAGACAUGAUGUGUGAACGUGUCUAUGCCUGUGGUGGUGCGGGCGUGUGCAAGCGUCCUUCGAAGAACCACAUGCACCUAUAGGCUAUAGUAUAGUAUUGUUUUGAACCGAAUCCAUCUUCUUCUGAUACAGUAUAAUAUACAAUCUACUAGCUAGUAUAUUAUUCAUAUAUAGUGUACAAUAUACUCGGCUUACUCCAAGAGCAUCUGUAUCAUUUCUUUAAGCAGGUGAUCAGGCCUUUUGUUAUUUACAAAUGGCAACAAAAGAGUAGCUGCUGCAUGCGUCAAACAUAAGCACAUUUCAUGUGCAUUCUGCUUUUCUCCUCUUGUUAUUAAGAGCUAUAUGCCUAUAUCUAUACUAGUAACAGAUUCAAUAAAAGGCUGCAAUUUGACUAAGGCCGAGAUAGCAAAAUCAGUAAGCAUUAUCGCUCCUACGAAUACGAUAAAUAAAGAACAUAUAUGCAAACUGAUCGAGCUAAUUUGAGCAUACUCGAUCCAGAGAUUUUUCUAAUGCGUGAAAACAAAGUCGCAAAUCCUUGAAGCUUUGUGUGUGCACAUGCAUUGUUUUUCGAAAAUUUAAACUAGGCAACAUAUGCAGACCAAUGUUAACUCGUUGGUCAGAGCAGAAGCGACGACUGUAAAACCCAGUGAUAGCAGUAACAAUAGGACACAGAUAAGUGAUGAAUGAAGGUGACAUGCGGAGACAGACCUCGGGGGAAUGGGUGGAGGAGGUGGCGGUGCUGCCGCGAGUGGAGCAGUUGCUGGUGGCGCAUAGAGGAAGUGAGCAGCGGAAGUAGUCGCCGCAGCAGGCGGCGCAGAGCCCGCCGAAGGAGAGCUGCAGAUCCCAACCAUGUCGUCACAUGCUGCUGGCACCGGUACCACUACCACCCCACCCCCAGCAGCAGCACCACCUCCUGCUGCUGCCGCGGCCGCCGCCGCUUCCAUCCCUGUCGCCGUCGUCCUCUGCAGCGGCAACGCUUCGCCUGCGACCACAAUGCUCGAACGAUCGGCCAUUGCACGCACGGCAUGAAAUAGGACUACAUUGCACGUACGUCCAUGAUCUGCGCUAGCUUUGUUCGAGUUACAUACCUGUGGCGAUGUGUAACGAUCUGUCUGUGCUCUUCACCGUCCUAUACAUCUGCAAGUCAAGGGGAGGACGGAAACGGAUUAGUUAUCAUGAUGUUUUGGUUAGUUUUUUGUGUCGCGUAUGUGCGAGAAGGUGCACGAUAUGAUGAAAGUAUCAUGUGCGUCUUGUUUACUCUCUCCAUUGCGGCCAAGCUAGAUGCCGUUUGUUUGUCACCUAGCACUUGACCAAUGCAAGAUUCACCAGGGACAAAAGUAGUUUACCAGUAAGAAACCCACAAAAGUGGUGAAAAAAAACAAAAAGGAGCCAUCAUCAUGCAAAAAGAUUUACGAUGUUCUCAUUCCGUGUUUGCGUAUCAGUGUAUGGUGUUAGCUAAUCUAUAUAUGCCAUUAGUUUUUCUUGUUUUCUUUCUGCACGUAUACCUGAAGGUGGCUCUUGACAUGCGCCAGCGUCAGAUCCUUGACGUUCAUCAGCUCCAGCACCGACUUCGGAGUCGCUCCUGCCGGCAGUCAGAGACGGCGCGGCAGCCACAAGAACGGAUCGCGCACGCGCCAGAAAGAUCGUCAGAGAAUUGAGCAUAAAGAAUAAGCUUAUGCAGAAGCAAAAUAAGGGGAAUGCAAGCAUCUCAGAUCAUGCGAAAUCAGUGGCGCGAAUGCUAUAUAAGCUUACUCUCAUGGCCGCCGAGGAGCUCCACGGCGUGCACGAAGCGCGCGUGGAGCGCGGUGGUCCAGCGCAUCCGCGGCGCCCGGGCGCUCCGCUUCGUCGAUCCGCCUGGCAGGGACGCCCUGGUGGCAGCGCGCUUGAACGCGCAUCCCUGCGGCUCGAGGUGGCCUCGGCGUCCGGCCGCGUCGCCGCCGCGCGCCGCUGGCGUGCCGAGCCCCAGGCUGAGGCCCGGGGGCUCCGCGACGGGGCUAGGGUUUGCGAAGAACCCUACCUCGCCGCUUCCUUCAGCGUGCGGGGCCGUGCUUGGCUCUGCCAACGGAGGCCUCGCCACCGCCAGCGCGUCACAAGCAGCGGCUGACGAGGCGGCUGGUGGGCUUAUCCCGAGGGAGAGAUUCGGCAGGUUCCUUUGCAGCAUUGGAGGAUCUCAAGCAAUGGAAAGUCACAGCCUUGCAGCUACCUCAACGAUCAAAAUGGAGGACGGAAUCAAGCUCCUAGCCAAUCCACGACUUCUUGCUUCUUGGGAUCAGGCGAUCAUAUACUUGUUGAAUCAAGCGGAGGCCAUGGAGGGGUAGGAAGUAGUUAUAUCAGCGGUGGUCCGGCCGGUGAUCAAAGAAGAGGAAAGAAGGUAGUAGAAAGAGAGAGGGAGGGAGAGGAAAGGAGAUGAGGAGAGAGAUGGGCAAAGUCUGGACAGUGGUACAGUCACUGAGAAAGAGAAAGAGAGUGUGGGGAAGGGAUGGUGGAUUUGAGCAAAGUGGCAAGUGAAAAGGAGCGAGAGAGAGCCACAGAGGGGAAAGGAGAUGCUUAGAGCCUGGGGGUAGUGAUGAGGGGCAAAAGAAGCUGUGGUGAUUAGGUCAUGAGUGGUGUAUGAUUUGGUCCCUUGGGAAUGCUGCUUAAAGAAGGGUGUAGCAUGUAAGCUUUGGAGGGGCAGGGGCGCAGGGCGCAUAAGCUGAAGGCACUGUACUUGAAGGCCAUAAUGGUGCUACAGUCGCUGUUCCUGGCCGCCUUCAUGUGCAAUCUGACAUUGGAACGUAUGUACGGUGGUGGUAUGUGGUGAAUGUUCAAAACGUAGCUCGUCCCUCGUACCAUGAUGUUUCAGGUGGGCAAAUUACUUUAUACUCUACCUGUUGACUGGAGCUGGGAGAAGAGAAUUUUUUUUUUAUCAUGAAAAACAGCUUUUUCAAGAAAAUUUAUUUGGUGCUGCUGAUCACUUACCGAUGAAAAAACAUUUUGUUUGUUCAUGAUCUAUGUCGCCAUGUGAGAAGUGAACAAGUGCAACGUCAUGGUUUGACCGGGACAGUUCAUUCCACUACACUGACCGUUAUUUUCCCCCAUUAUAUGCUAGCAAUGUAUCGGUUUUUUUUUCACGAACUCUCAGAACAUAUUUCAUUAAGGGGUCGGGGAGGAGGAGCGUAAUGUUAGGUUAAUGAUAUGUAGGUUAUUUUGGAUGCCAAGAGGUACUAAAGUAAUUUCCAUGCAAUAAAACACAUCGGUGGUCAACAGUCUAAGAGCUGGACACUAUGUUAGUAGGACAAUAAAGCACAAUAGACAAAGUGUGUGGGCUCCAAUUCUGGUUUUCACAGUCCUGCCAGCAUAUAUUUAGUGUGGUUUUAGAUAUCCUAUCUAGUAGGAGUGCUACACAUAAGGGGCUACCAUAUAUGCUUAUUUAGCCAAAACCCAACAGUUGAUGAGUGAUUUUAGAGCGCUUGUCUAGCGCUUGACUUGAGAUGGGUCUUCUUAUCUGCUGGUGACCGGUGAGGGAGCGAGUGCAAGCAAGCCACUGAAUUGAAUAAACAUGGUAGGGUCUGAGUGUCUGACACCAAUCCAAGCCAGCCAGGGCUACCCAUUGUGCUAGCUGCAAAGAUAGGUCUCACCUUUUGAUCUGAAGGAUGGUCUUGGUCUGCAGCUGCAGUGCAGGACCAAGGAAGGUGUGUAAAACGGGCUGACGCCGGCCCCUUUGGGGGUGGACGUUUUCAGCAAAGCAGAAGCAUAAUGGCCCCCGGGCGAGGCCGCUGGGGAUCUUUCCAUAUUCAUGAAAGGGAAAAGGGUUCUCCCGUUCGAUCCCGUCCGCCGUGGCCGUGUGGGACGCCGGACGCUGCCCUGCCCGCUGCCCCGGCUGCAGGGCGUAGUGAAUGUGGCGGAAUGCGACAACACGGUGCGGAGCACUAGCUGCCGCGCGCUCUGCCCUGCUAGCUGGUACGAGCGAGAGCGAGAGGCAUGGAGAGUGACACCGGAGAGAAGAGUUGUUGCUUGCAUCGUCUAGCUAGCCAGGUAGCAAGAUGAUGAUGAUGGUGACAAGGUGUAGCCAUCUAUCCUUCUUCACUCGCUCACUCAGCAAGAACAAAGGCUGUCCUGUAAUGUUUCACAUAAACAGGAUGCAGUGGUUUGUUGCUGACAGUUGAAAGUGUCAAACAUGCCAUAUUUGGGGAACCUAAACACCGUCCGAGAAUCGCAAGCAUUUGUGAAUUGUGCGCCUGAAGAUAUCAUAGCAGCCGACGAGCAAUCCACCCUGCCGAAUCAGCACGCACGUGUGUCAGUCACGUGAGCGCGCGCAAGGGAUCGCCAAUAUACUACGGCCGAUCGAUCGCCCAGGAGAGAGAUAGCAGGGGGGCAAAAAGUACGGCUCCUACAUUCCGAUCUCGUCGUCUUCGCAUAACCUAAUCGCCCAAUCAGCCGCCUAAGCAAGCCCCCCCGGAAACAACCAUCGGAAGAGAACAACAAGGACUCCUCGCGGCACACGAAGGAAAAGGCGCCCGGCGCGGCGCAGUACGGCGACUCCGACCGCCCCGCGCUGGGCCGUAGCGCGGUGGCACGCGCGCCGGGCGCGCGGCCGGGGAGAUGGCAACAAGCCGGAGGAACUUCUCGAGGCGGCUAAACAAAUGGGGCGAGGGGAAUUUUGAUCCGCCCCCGGGUCAGCGCCUAACGCGGCGUGUUCCUCGCGCAAAAGGCUCGCGCGGCUUUUCGAUAGAUCGCCACUGCCGCGCACGGGCCCCCGUGCGCGCGCGUUUAAUGGUGGUGGCUCUUAGCCGCAUGCAUGCGCCUGUGCGCGCGCCGUGUUGGUAUGUGCGUGCCGUGAUCUUGGUCCGGGGCGCCGCGGGUACGCCGCUUGGCUUUCUUUACUCGGUGACUCGAGGUGUUGCGAGUCGGUAGCCCUGUCUGCCCCUGGCUGCCUGUAUGCAUGGCUGUGUGGUCGUGUCUAGUGGAGUAGUUGUAGCGUGUACUGACAGUACUGUACUUUUCCAGUCUACGAUGUCACGUUGUGUCGAGGAAUACGCUCGUACGUAUGUCGCCAAACCGAUGUGUAUAUGUACGUACAUGUACUGAUACAUAUGCAGGCCCUACGUGGACCUAGCUACUGCGUGCGAACACAUGUCCGGGGCAAAUGGCAUUAUUCCGAGCAGUCAAAAGUCGGUACUGAAAAGCGCUACAGCAGGGAGCCGCGGGGCCGACGACCCUGACUGCCGGCAUCUUCUCUUAGGUAAAGGUAAAAUCUAUGCGUGUGCUACAUGCAUGUGUUCACCAAGAGGCAACGCAAUAGCAAGCGUUGGGUUGGGCACUUGCGGUGUACCAAAAAGGACCUUGGUAGUGGGAGGACCAUACUAAAAUCAGAGAGCCGCUCGCUCGUGUUGACUCCACCGAUUAGUUCGAGACUCUCCGUACACACACCCAGAUGGCAUGGAUAUCCAGUCCAUUGUUUUUUCACUCCUGCACGCAUGAUGAUGGAUUAUGCGGACCAUCGUGCAUGGUGAUCGUGUGUCCAUCGUGCACUGGAGAAGAACCUGAGAUCCCAGGUCGCACGCUAACAAUGCAAGACUCCUAGGGGAGUAGCACACACGCCCUGCGCUACGUCGCAAUCGUCUCCCCCCAAUUAUUCGCGCUGCGCACCGCUGCACCUGCACGUACUCGAUGGCGCGCGUGGACCUCGCCUAGGACUAGGAGCCUUGUGUGGUCUCCCCCUUGCUCUGCGCCCUCUCCUUCCUUUCUUCGAAAGCCGCAGUGGUCGGUGCCGGGCAGUGGGCACGUACUGCUGGUCGAGCGCGACGUGGUGGUGGCCGCCUCCUCCAACCAAAAGCUGCCGCGCCGAGCAGCCCCGCGCGCAUGUGCCCAGCCACACACGCAGCGCGGUGGGAGCGCAUGAUUGAUCGGCCAGCUCGUCCGGCCGCGGUUCCCGGCGCGGAGGCGUCCAGCAACGGCCAGCCGGCCGAGGGGACCGUGGCCCCGGGGCGUGGCCGCGUGGGGUGGUUUCGUUUUCCGGCCGUUUCGGUGGGAGGUCGCUGCCUUUCUCCGCGCGAUCAUUGCGAGUUUCGCUUAGCUUACGUUUUGCCGGCUCGAGGGGUCGCCGCGGUGGGCGGUGGCCUCAGGAUGGACGGGCCGGGGUGAUUGGGGCGGACCACGACCCGGAAAUCCAUGAUGAUUUCCCCACCACUGCUGGUGCUGGUGCCUGGUACCCUGACGGGUUUUGGGGGCACGACUGCGCUAGCCGAACUACGGUGUCAGCUGACUGACGGAAGCCAGGCGAGCAACAGCGGGUGUGAGUGUGUGACAAGGCCACGGAGUUUUGUUGGGUUGGGGUGGUCAUGCGUUACGCGACAACAGGCGCGCGUCCAAGGAGUAGCGGCCGAGUUGCAGGAGAGGAGCUGUUCGUCAGGUGUUUCGCAGAAGACACGUACGUUGCCAUGGACCGUUCUUCCGAGCCCAGCACUGGCUUUUGUUUUCCCCAGACCCGGGUCAAUUGUUACAUUCAGUCCCCAGUGCGGGUACGGGUAAGCAUUUUUCAUCAGGGUAGCCAACUUUUUUGUUUUCGAAGGAGCUCAACACCCGAUUGCCCGAUUGUACCACAAGAACAAGAACAUUGAAGAACAGAAAAAAAGAGAGUAGAAUACAACAAAGGAAGUACAAGUUGUUUACCUCGAUAGCCUUGAAACCUUCUCGAUUUGUAUCUAUCUGAUAUUUUGAUGAUCUGAUAACACGGUAAGUCUUCGGUGAUGUAAUGUUGUCGGAUGCCCAGUUUCACAAAAGAGGCCUUUGUGCUACGCAAGUUCAGGCCCAUUAAUUAGCCCAUCACAAGUACAAAAGCCCAUUAAUUCCCCAACAUACUUAGCUCGACCUGGUCCGACUCGAGCCCAGUUUUACCCCACAGCGCGUCUCCCCCAAUCGUCUCGCACGUACGGUCUCAGGCGCCUCGGCCUCGCCGCUGCACAGACGCUGGAGACGACGGCGGCGGCGAGAUGACGGUGUUCCACUUCCUCAACUGCGCCUUCCUCACCUUCGGUCCCCACGUCGUCUACUACUCUGCCACCCCCCUGUAACUCCCUUCCCUUACUUCCUUUCUCUCGUGCUCUCUCUCUCUGAGAUCCGUAUGCUAAACACGCGAGAUCUGCGUGUGUUGCGCGAUCUGGGAGCUUUGCCGCGUGAUCUGCACCGAGGAGCACGAACGCCUGAUGGUGCGCGUUCUUGAUGUGAUCCGGGCCUGUGGGAUGUGGUUUUAGUCAGUACAAUUGCAGUGAAUUUUGCUCAGUUGAGUUGGGUUGGCAUGAGACACUGAGACAAGUUCCGUGUGUGCUGGCUUACUUAUGUUGCACUGUUCGUUGGGAUUCAUAGCUUAGCUUGAGUGGAUUGUGGUGUUCGAAUCGAAACUGGUUAGCUGACCAUUUUUACUAGCAGUACCUGUUACGUUAACUUCAUGCCUACACUCUUUUGUGUGUUGGGAGGGGAAUAUUAGGUGGAAGAUGCUGGUGAGCUGCACCAAUAUGAAAUGAUGCUACUGACUGUAUGGAAGAACACUUCAAUCUUGUGGAAGUAAAUUCUUAUUGGAUCUAUAUUGCCAGUAGAGAGUAACCACAUGAUAAUAAUAUAAAUCUGUCAAGUGAAUUCUGGAGGGGAAUGGAUUAUUCAAACAACGUAAUAACAGGGUGACCAAGUAAAUUAUAUCAAAUGGUUGUUAGUAUGGCCUUUCUGUCGGUGUUUCGUACCGCCAACUAGUGAUCGUACGCCGCUCUCUCCUCACUUCCAAUGGCUAGCACACAAGAGACAAGGAGUUAUACUGGUUCGGGAAGAUCCUUUCGUCCAGUUUCGGCAGGAGUCGUGUUCCUUGGAUCAAGCGCACUGGGCUUACAACAGGGUGCUUGCAAGCAAGCGUUCGUGCGAUGUGUGGCUGUAUGCGUCGAAUGCGAGAGAGAGUGAAAGGAGGCCUGGUUCCCUUUAUAUAGGCUAGGGACUGGGCAACAGCGUUGAGAAAUGGAGGGGGUCCCCGACCUCAGAGGUUGGGGGUUGUGGCGUGGUCAGGUCUUCCUUGCACCAAGAGGCCUCCUUGUCCUGUCCCGUUGGCUGGUCGUGGGUUUCGCACGCCUUGUACGGUGGCUUCUGCGCCGCGUGGGUGCUUACGCACGGCCCGACCUACUCCGUGGCGUGCUCCUGUCCUAUCCGUCAACUCCGUGGUAGUGAACGGGACGGGUGCUGUUGCUGUCGUCCGUACUGGUGAUGAAUGGGCGGGCCUUGAUUAGUGGCCUGGACGGGGCGUGCCGCUCGUCCCGGCUUUCCUCGACCUCUUUAGUGUGCUCACGGCAGCUCCUCGCCGUAACGUCUGUCACUGGGUCCCACCUCACCUGCGGGACAGUAUCGGGCCUGGCGCGGUGGCAUGGCCUUGAUCUUGACGGGUCUCGUUGACGGCGAAGGCGAUGAUGACGUCGGGGCGUGGGCGUGUACGGCCGCGCGUUGCCUCAUCCUGCAGGCGGUCUGAAGGGUGUAGCCUCACCCUCAGACCCCCUGGUUAAAGGUCAGCUCCCCUCGCCUGGUCAUGUCUCCGGCGUGGGGCAAUGCCUCUUGUAUAGCGCAGGUCUUCCUGAGUCAAGGAGUGGGUAAGGCGCCGUGGGCCCCUUGCGGGCCCCGCCCCCGAGCCGGUUGAGCCAGCGAGUCAUGGCUCUUGGCUUCCGACCAAGGGAGGUUGGGUGGUGGGCUUCAACGUCGUCUGGGCCAUUUCCAGGAUGCUUCUAGCUGUUGGUCCUUUGGCUUUUUGGUGCCUGGUUGCCUUAAGCCCCGUUCCUGAGGGUACCCCGAACCUGUCACUUUCUUUCUGUAGUUGCAAGGUUGUGGUGCUGUUCUUUUUUCAGUGGCAUUAAGGUCUGAAUAUCUCAUUUCCCAUCUAAUGCAACGGUCACAUCCAGUUCAACUAAACCCUGCUUAUUUUUCAACUGUCACCCACUUGAGCAAUGAGAGUGUCUACCCAUGAUCCAUGGAACAUUUAAAUAAGUUAGAUGAAUUCUUGGCCUAGUUUUAUCUGAAUGUAUACCCUAGUUGACCUAGUUUAAUCUGAGCAUAGAUGAACACACUUCUGUAUCCAUAGGUCCCUUUUACUACACUUUCUUAUCCUUUCAUUUGUUUCAGGUCAGAGUAUGAUACAAUCGGCACUUCUGUAAAAGCGGCUGUUGUUUAUCUUGGAACUGCACUUGUAAAGGUCAGCAAACAGUCCAGGAUUCUUAUGUCUUCUGAAACUUAAAAUGAUAAAGGGUUUACAUCUAGUGCACAAUCAUGGGAAAACAGAUCUUUUUAUUUGGGCAGCAAAUAACAUGAAGAAUUCCAGAAGGAAAAAACAAAGAGAUGUGGAUUGUGGAUUACUGAGUUAUUCUAGAACCUUUCAACAUUUUCAACUUCAAACUAAAGAUGUCAGAUGAAACAUAGAUAAGGAAAAAAAUUUGCAAGUGUACUGUGGACACUGGAUAUGUAAUACCAGCCCCUUUUCCCUUUGAUUUAUCUUUGUCAUAUAUUCACAUUUUUACUACUCUUAUGUCUUGAUAUAGAGUGGCAGAACUCAAAACGUUGUACAUAUGUAAAAUAAUUUGAGGGGCCUAUGCCUAGUUUUUUGGAUUUCUUUUGGUGUUAGUUUGAUAUAUGAGAACUGUUUUUUGUCAUUAGUUCACUUAGUCAUGCUUUGGCAUAGAUACCUCACAAUAAGAAAAUUUGACUGUACCAUGAUUCUUAAGCCAACUUAUUUACCAUUCAUGGAUAUCAUGUUCUCCAUUUGAUUUUUUUUCUAGUUCAAAUCAUUUAUAUCAUGUUAUCUUGCCUCCUUGCAUCUACCUUUUCCGAUUCAUAUUUUCCCUGACACUAUGUUUUCCUUAGUAAUAAGUUUAACAUAAUUCUGCAACAUUUAUGCACACUUUUGACUUUCUGAAAUAAACUUUUGCGUUGGGGGUUAACAUGAUGCAUAACAAACAGCUUUUUCUUUGACUGCUAUUAAAGAAAGUAGUGAACAUUUCUUGAAUUCAAUUCUUUCUGCAUGGUAUAAACUGGUAUUGCUCCCCGUUAUACAGUUUUCUUUGUAUUGUUAUUCUUUGAAGAAAAGUGGGCAAGUUCAAACUUUUCCUGUUCUGAUGUAUCCAAGAUAAAUUGUUUGAAGUUUUUGUACUUAAUUUCAGUGGAUGGCAUUACCUAUUGUCUUCCUUGCCAUGCUAUAUUUCUAUACCUACUACUAUCAUGAUCUACUUGUGACCAAAGUUAAUGAAUUGGUUGCUAACAUUGCUAUAUCGUAUUGGCAGCUUGUUUGCUUAGCAACAUUGCUCAAAGUACCUGAGAAUGAUAGCUUUGAUCCCUAUCAGGUAUAUUUGCUUUUCUUGGCACACAAAAUAUACUUUGAUACCAUGUUCUUGGCGUCCUCUAAUAUAUCUUGUUCUUUCAAAUUGCAGGAGUUAAUGAAAGUUUUUAUUGGGUUCAUUGAUGUAGCUGGACUAUAUUUUGCUCUGACACAGUUGACUCACAGAAACAUCUCUCAGAAUCAUAAGUUCCAGGCUGUUGGUCUUGGUAAGUACAGAGUUCUCGCUGACAUUUGAUUCAUGUCAUCAAACAGCGUCCAUGGGGAUAUUUAUUCUUGCAUCUCCAUUCUGUGCCUUUCCUAUUUUUCCUUGCGUACGAUGUGCUGAAAAAUAUCUGCUUAGCCUUUUCUAUGUGGCCAUCUUGAGUUGCGCUGAAUUUAGUUUUCCAUGAUAUGGCUUUGGCUUGGAUACAAAAGCGCACUUAGACUUAUUGGUUACUGACAGUGGUUACCAGAAAUUCAACAGCAUGUCCUUUUGUUUGUUGCUCUGCAUAAUUGUGGAAGAAUGUUUGGUUUUGUACUUUUCCCAUCUAAGAUAACUUUGUUGUGAUUUAUCAUCGAUGUGUUGGUGUUUUCAGGUUGGGCUUUUGCUGAUUCGGUUCUGCACCGACUGGCACCUCUGUGGAUUGGGGCAAGAGGGCUUGAAUUUACGUGGGAGUUCAUAUUUCAAGGAAUUGAAGCAAAUGCUAAUCUUGUAUGCCACUCCGUAGUGUCAGAUUCCUUGUUUUGAAGAGACCAGCUUCCUAGUGCUACAACUCAUCAUGUUUAUUUAACAUAGUUGUUGACAAGAAGACUGCUGAUUUGUGUUUCUCUACAGGUGAUGACCCUCUCCCUUGCUGCAUUGGGAUCAUUGAUGUGGCUUAGGAAGAACAAGCCUAGGACUUUGGUUCCAAUAAUUUAUGCAUGUGCUCUGCUCUUGGCAACAAUGCCAUCUAUCACAAGGUAAAGCAUCCCUAUCAUGCUCCACUUUGUUUGUGUUCUUAUUUCCCCCUUUUUCUGAAAUAAAAAUGUUUUAUUAUGAGAAAUAAUAAAUUUAGAUGUGUGUGUCUACUUUUUGCUGUUACCUACGUCUUUAUUAAAUUAUUGUGGCGUUAUAUGUAUUAACUUGAGAUAAAGGCUCUGUUGCUGCUGCUACUAAUUUGAACUGGGGAAGAUUAUCUGUUCAAUUAACAGCGUGCUUUACACCUGACCAAUUAGAUAACCAUGGUACUUGAUGUCCAAUUCAGAACAAUUUUUAUAUAUUCCUUUUUCAGAUUUUCCUUAACCCUUAACUGUUCGCAAUUUAGAAGUCCUAAUUUUCCUUGUCCGUUGGAUGCAUAAUCAUUUUGUGCAAGGUCCCAUACUCCCAUGAAUACCGUGAACCUUUUCUCGCACUAGUUGUGAACCAAACUAAGUGUUUGAAUUAAGUAUCCAGGCAAAUGCUUUGUUUUGAGUUUUCUGUUGAAUUCCAGUAUACGAGUGUGUAGGUUUGGUAAUUGAUCUUAGCCUUUGGGGGGUUAUGGUAUUUCACCAGUGAUCGGAACAUAUCAUUCUUUACUCGUACCAUUUGAUCUGAUUAUUUAGUUGCUUUGCUGUGACUUGCACGUUCCAUGCUUUCUAGAUAUUUCGCUUAUUGUUUACUGGGCUAAACAUGCUCACCAAUAUCGCAGUUACUUGAGAAGAUCACUGGAGUGGCAGACACCAAAGGUGGUUGGCUUCGAGCUAUUCUCCUCGCUUGUUAUGGCUUUCAUCAGCUGGCAGCUGUUCUCGGCUUGUCAGAGACCGAUGUAGUGAGUCGACGAUAGCAGUCUCAGUUUUACCUACAGUUUGACGCUCUUGAAGGUGCCUCCUGAUGUAUGUCAAGAAUUAGGAUGAUCCUUGAGCCCUUCCGCUACAAAGCUUUCUUCGUCUUUGAUUAUAGAACAUUUUACUUAGAAUUAUCUGUUGUGAGUUGCAGAGCAGAAAUCCAUGCCUCAAAUGAGUGGUUAUGUAACAGAUGCUAUUCAAGGCAUUUGAGCGGAAAGAGUUUUCUUUUUAAUCUUGCUGUGCAUUUCAUAUCCUAUGUUUGAGUCGCAUCAUCUAGCGUAUAGAUCGUAUAAUUCAGUUAUCUUAUCAGAAUGCAAGAAUAAAAGCAUUGGUUGCAUCUCUCCCUCCUGCCACUUAGCUGUACAUGAUUUGAUUUGCAAGACGUGGAUGUGUAUGCACUGUGAUUUCAGAGUCGCAGAACUGACUGGAGUCCUUUUAUAUGUGAACACCUCAAGAUCAAUUGCGGGCCUCGACCCCAAAAACAUGUUUGCACGGUAUUCAUCAAUUGUCAUGGAUACAUACCGAAGUAAAUUCAAUCAAAAACAUACAUCGCGUUUUAUAUAUCACGGUUUAUAUGAGGCAGCGGCGACAGAUUGGCUGCUGCUGCUACCAGGGCGGGCGCGCGCGUCCAUCCCUACUCGGACUC